AAAAGGACUAAGGAUAUGUUUCUCGUAUAUGGAGGUGACAAAGAGCUCAUCGUAAACGGUUACGUUGAUGCAAGCUUUGACACUGAUCCGGACGAUUCUAAAUCGCAGACCGGAUACGUAUUUACACUAAACGGAGGAGCUGUCAGUUGGUGCAGUUCUAAACAAAGCGUCGUAGCGGGAUCUACAUGUGAAGCGGAGUACAUAGCAGCUUCGGAAGCAGCUAAUGAAGGAGUCUGGAUGAAGGAGUUCAUAUCCGAUCUAGGUGUCAUACCUAGUGCAUCGGGUCCAAUGAAAAUCUUCUGUGACAAUACUGGAGCAAUUGCCUUAGCGAAGGAAUCCAGAUUUCACAAGAGGACCAAGCACAUCAAGAGACGCUUCAAUUCCAUCCGGGACUUAGUCCAGGUGGGAGACAUAGAGAUUUGCAAGAUACAUACGGAUCUGAAUGUUGCAGACCCGUUGACUAAGCCUCUUCCACGAGCAAAACAUGAUCAGCACCAAGACCCCAUGGGUGUUAGAAUCAUUACUAUGUAAUCUAGAUUAUUGACUCUAGUGCAAGUGGGAGACUGAAGGAAAUAUGCCCUAGAGGCAAUAAUAAAGUUAUUAUUUAUUUCCUUAUUUCAUGAUAAAUGUUUAUCAUUCAUGCUAUAAUUGUAUUAACCGGAAACAUGAUACAUGUGUGAAUGUAUAGACAAAACAAUAUGUCACUAGUAUGCCUCUACUAGACUAGCUUGUUAAUCAAAGAUGGUUAUGUUUCCUGACCAUGAACAAAGAGUUGUUAUUUGAUUAACGAGGUCACAUCAUUAGUAGAAUGAUCUGAUUGACAUGACCCAUUCCAUUAGCUUAGCACACGAUCGUUUAGUAUGUUGCUACUGCUUUUAUCCAUGACAUAUACAUGUUCCUGUAACUAUGAGAUUAUGCAACUCCCGUUUACCGGAGGAACACUUUGGGUGCUACCAAACGUCACAACGUAACUGGGUGAUUAUAAAGGAGUACUACAGGUGUCUCCAAAGGCAGAUGUUGGGUUGGCGUAUUUCGAGAUUAGGUUUUGUCACUCCGAUUGUCGGAGAGGUAUCUCUGGGCCCUCUCGGUAGUGCACAUCACUGAAGCCUUGCAAGCAUUACAACUAAUGAGAUAGUUGUGAGAUGAUGUAUUACGGAACGAGUAAAGAGACUUGCCGGUAACGAGAUUGAACUAGGUAUUGGAUACCGACGAUCGAAUCUCGGGCAAGUAACAUACCGAUGACAAAGGGAACAAUGUAUGUUGUUAUGCGGUCUGACCGAUAAAGAUCUUCGUAGAAUGUGUAGGAACCAAUAUGGGCAUCCAGGUCCCGCUGUUGGUUAUUGACCGAGAAUAGUUCUAGGUCAUGUCUACAUUGUUCUCGAACCGUAGGGUCCGCACGCUUAAGGUUUCGAUGACAGUUAUUAUGAGUUUAUGUAUUUUGAUGUACCGAAGAAGUUCGGAGUCCCGGAUGUGAUCACGGACAUGACGAGGAGUCUCGAAAUGGUCGAGACAUAAAGAUUGAUAUAUUGGAAGCCUAUAUUUGGAGUUCGGAAUGGUUCCGGGUGAAAACAGGAAUUUACCGGAGUACCGGGAGGUUACCGGAACCCCCCGGGUACUACAUGGGCCUUAGUGGGCCUCGAGGGAGAAGAGGAGGGGCCGGCUAGGGGUGGCCACGCGCCCCCUCCCCCCCCAGUCCGAAUNNNNNNNNNNGGGGGGGGGGGCGGCGCCCCCCUUUCCUCUUCCCCCUCCCCCAAUCCUACUCCAACUAGGAAAGGGGGGGAGUCCUACUCCCGGUGGGAGUAGGACUCCUUCGGCGCGCCCCCUCUAGGCCGGCCGCACCUCCCCCCUCCCUCCUUUAUAUACGGGGGCAGGGGGGCACCCUAGGACACACAAGUUUGAUCUACGGAUCGUUCCUUAGCCGUGUGCGGUGCCCCCCUCCACCAUAUUCCACCUCGGUCAUACCGUCGCGAAGCUUAGGCGAAGCCCUGCGCCGGUGAAACAUCAAGAUCGUCACCACGCCGUCGUGCUGACGGAACUCUCCCUCGACACUCGGCUGGAUCGGAGUACGAGGGACGUCAUCGAGCUGUACGUGUGUCAAGAACUCGGGGGCGCCGGAGUAACGGCGUCGGGAUCGGCCGGAUCGCGAGGAGAACGUACGACUACUUCCUCUACGUUGUGAUCGCUUCCGCUUCGGGUCUACGAGGGUACGUAGACAACACUCUCCCCUCUCGUUGCUAUGCAUCACCAUGAUCUUGCGUGUGCGUAGGAAAAUUUUUGAAAUUACUACGUUCCCCAACAUUCCAAACAUCGGUGCCCGAGGCAUGGGCUCGUUCCCGCUUGUCGUGUCGCCUGGGGAGGAGCAAGCAUGGGGAGAUGUUUCCUUGGUUACCAACAUGAUGUGAUUUCCAUAGAUUUCAUUUGUUUGCUCCACAUUGUUGCCAAGAUUGCAUUUUGACGAUACGUUUUUUGUUGCAGCAUCCUCGUGAAUGUGAAUGGGUUGUUUGGGUUGACCCUCCUCCAUAUCAUGUUGGGCGUGCUUUUGCCUUUUGAGGAAAGGCAUGCUGGGCUAGAAGCAAGUUGGCUCAAAAUUCAUCGUCUAGAGAGGAGGGUGGCACUCUAAGAGAGAGAAAGAAGAAGCUCAAGUUAGAGUUGAAGAAGAGGCAUGAUCAGAUGGAAACAUGGGCAUUUAUGAUGAUUGAUAGCAUAUGCAUUAUGUCCUAUUUGUUUUGUUCCAAGAAUGCAUCUUAGAUGGCUUUGACAUUGUAGGCACUGAGUAGAACUUGCUUCAUGAUGUGAACCUUGUAAUGAUGUGAGUUGAUGUUUUGCACCUUCUGCUUAGACAAAUUAAUUGAGAAGCAUCAGUUUGGUCUUGUCAUCUCUUUCUCUUACUGUGUUUGUUUGUGAUUCUUGUACAUAAAUGAUAAUGCAUCAGUGCAUAAGUUGUUUUAUAUGAAUUUGCAAAAUCGGCAUGGAAACAUCUAUGGCUAACAAGGAACAACAACAUGCCAGGAUCAAAAUCACAUGAUCUAGGAGAAAAACUUGCCAGGAAGACCAGCUACAUGCCAACAUGAAUUAAGACCAACAAAACCACAUGAUCAACAUGCCAGGAUCAACAUGAAGAUAUGACCAACAACAACAUCACUUAAGAUAGCGCAUACUGCAUAGUUCACACAACAACAUAAGUUCAAUAGUACCAAAUAAGACCAUAGUUCAAAAUUUCGUACAUUGCUCACACAAAGGGACACAUAGUUCAAAGCUUCUGGUACAUAGUUCAAACAAAGGGACACAUGAUCACACAACGUUCACAGCAAAUUUCCUUCUUGCUCCAAGUGUUGCAUGCAGGAUGAGAAAAGAGCCUGGACUUGCUUCUAGUGCUCCUAGUAUCAGCUGCCACCUUCUUAGGAGAGGAAGAGCUUGUAAGCUGGUUUCUUCGAUUUAUAGAACCAACAGUCGAAAGUGUAUCACAUUUCGCCUUAUUUUUUGGUGAAAGAGGAUUUGUAACUCUUUCUGCUAGCCUUUUGUAAUUUUUCCUUGGCCAAGAAGUGUCAACACAAGCUUUAUUAGUUAGUAAUGAAAUAAUUUGACAAAUAAAUCACUUAGUUGUAGUUAAGAUAGCAGUAUACCUGACAACACUUGCUAUAGUUGGUGCUUCACUUCCAGGAUCUACAUAAUCACCAAUAUUUGCUGGGGUAGCUCCACAAUUUUCUAGAGUUGUGGGUGCAAGUGUUUCUUAUGCUUCAUUGUUGUCUUGUGGCGCAUCAAUUUCUGCAGGUGCAUCAAUUUCUGUUGGUGCAUUGUGUCUAGUGGUGUAUCUAUUUCUGCAGGUGCAUCAUUGUUUUCAGGUGCAUUGCCAGCACCCCAAUGCUCACCCUCUAAUUCAAAAGCUGAGUCAAUUAACUCUUUGCACUUAUUGCCAUGGUGACCAAGUCUGCCACAUCUAGGACAUUUCUUUCUCCUACCCCAAGCCCUUUCCUUCUAACUUUGCCCUAGUUGUAGUCUUUCUAGGUCUCCCAGGGGGCAUGUCUUGAACGGGAGCACUCAGUUUGAACCGAGGUCAACUAUAUCCCAAUGUUGCCCAUUCCAACAAGGCGAACACCACUAGGUCUCGGGGACCGACAAGGCGGAGGCCGUUCAUAUGUUAGUGUUAACGAGGCCAGCCACCUUCAUCAUUGGACAUCGGUAAGUCGGAGGGGAUACGAACACGCGUCGUCGGAGUGAUGGAUGUACCGUUCCAUCUUUCUAUUCCACUUCAUCAUCAUCGUUGUCUACACCAAGCACUAGGACAAGACGAGACUUGGAGAUGAUGACCAUUGAAGCUGCUUAAUCGGAUGUGGUCCAUGACUUAGACUCGUGGACGUAUCUAAUUGGGAGCCUUCGAACACCCCCAUUAACCAGAACUUCACAAUAGCCCAAGUCAUAUCGGCCGAACUAGAAUGCCAUGGAGCGCAUUCUGGGAUGAUAGAUUAAUAAAUUUAAUGUUUCCCUAUGUUUAUUUCUGUACUUAUUACACUAUCACACCCGUAAUAUUUAUUUUCCCUGGUGCAUAGAGAGAUAAUAGCAUAAUUACGUGUGUUAAACACCUCGAAUAUGCAGAAACAACGACCAAGACGGCCUCUAUAUUGCACACGACCUCGAGUAGAGUUCACUCAUGGGAAUGUCACUGUGUCACCACCGACUUGGAGCAUGAUACACAUGAAACAUCAUUGGGGAAGCCAUGUUGGGAGCGUGAAACGCUUGACAUGCCGAUGAGGUGUCUUAUAGAUGUAAAACCCCACACCACCAGGAGGGACACUGUUAGGACGUGCGUUAGAUAUGAGCUUUCCAAGGUCAGCCUAACCUCCCCAUGGCCUCGGGAUUCGCUGCUAUUGAACACGAAGGACAAUGAAGAACAAGACGGAUGAUUGGAUGAAGAUGGUGGGGAUGGUGGUGAUGCCAAUGGAGGCAAUGAUGGUGAUGGAGUUUCCCUCGGCAACGUUCUAGCUCCACGAGAAGGGAGGGAAAGAGAGCCCUCCUCUUUCUUGCUCAAUCCCACAAUACCGCCCAAUACAAAUAAGAUAAGGGGAGAAAGAAAUUUGAAUAUCAACACCCACAGAACAUUGUGUUAUUCUCGCGUGAAUACAUCUAUGCAUAGACCUCUCUCAUGAUGCCACUGAUGGGGGAUGUUGAAUGAAAAUCAAAAUAUUUCCUACGAAACACCCAUGAACUAAUCUAGGAAAUGUAUAACAACGAGAGGGAGUAUGUCUACGUACCUUCAUAGAACAAAAGUGUUAGCAUCAUAACGCGGCUGAUGUAGUAGUACUCUUCACGAUCCAAUCUGAUCUAGUGCCGAACGGGUGGCACCUCCGAGAUUAGUACACAUUCAGGUUGAUGGUGUCCUCUCCGUCUUGAUCCAGUAAGCGAGGGAGAGGAGGUAGAUGAGAUAUGAACCAGCAUGGCGGUACAGGAUGUCCAAAACCCACCUAGGCCCAGCCACAAUGUUAAAAUCCCUUUAAACUUGGAGAUAACAUAUUAUCUCCAAAUUCAACCCUUUAAAUUUAGAGAUAAGACCUUAUCUCUAGAUUUAAACAACAUGUGCCUUGGGGAAUGGGGCGGCCAGCCUGUGUGAGCUAUAGCCCCACCCCUCAGUCCAUGUGGGCCCUUCCUAGGUUGUUGGCCCCACGGUGGAACCUCGGGACCUUCCAGAACCUUCCUGGUACAAUAUCGAAAAAGGCAAACUUUUUCCGGAACCCAAAAUAUGACUUCCAUAUAUAAAUCUUUACCUCUGGACCAUUCUGGAACUCCUCGUCAUAUCCCGGAUUUUGUCUGGGACUUCGAACAACCUUCGGACUUUUCCCUAUUAAUAUCUCAAUGCUACCCUACCGCCAUCGAACGUUAACCGUGCGACUCUACAGGUUCGGAACAUGUAGACAUGACCAAGACUCCUCUCCGGUCAAUUACCAAUAGUGGGAACUAGAUGCCCAUAUUGAUCCUUACAUAUUCAAUGAAGAUCUUUAUAGGUUGAACCACGGUGUCGAGGAUUCAGUUAAUCUCGUAUGCAAUUCCCUUUGUCCAGCGAUAUGUUACUUGCCCGAGAUUCAAUCUUCAGUAUCUCGUUAGCAGCAAGUCCCUUUACGCGUUUCGUAAUACAAGAUCUCGUGAUUAUUCAUUAGUAAUAUGAAGGUUCAUAUGAUGUUGUAUUACUGAGAGGGCCCGGAGAUAUCUCUCCGUCACACAGAGUGACAAAUCCCAGUCUCGACCCAUGCAACCCAAUAGACACCUUCAGAGAUACCUGUAGAGCACCUUUAUGAUCAUCCAGUUAUGAAGUGAUGUUUUAUAGCACACAAGACAUUCGUCGGGUAUACGGGAGUAGCAUGAUCUCAUGGUCGAAGGAAUAGAUACUUGAUAUGAAGAAAGCUAUAGCAAAUAAUUAAACAAUUUGAUGCUAAGCUUCUGGUUAGGUCUGUCCAUCACAUCAUUCUUCUAAUGAUGUGAUCACGUUAUCAAAUGUCAACUCAUGUCUAUGGUUAGCAAACCCUAACCAUCUCUGAUCAACGGGCUAGUCUAGUAGAGGCUUACUAGAGACUCUGUCUAGUUUAUAAAUUCACACAUGUAUUUAAGUUUCUGGUCAAUACAAUUCUAGCAUGAAUAAUAAACAUUUAUCAUGAAUAUGAAAUAUGCUAAUAACCAAUUUAUUAUUGCCUCUAGGACAUAUUUCCAACAGGAGAGGGAAUUGAUCACGGAGGGCUUCUACAUCAUCGUUGCUACCUUCCGAUAUGCGUGAGUAGUUUGACCUACGGGCCCAUAGCUAGUAGCUAGAUGGCUCUUCUCUCUUUGAUCUUUAAUACAAUGUUCUCCUCGAUGUUCUUGAAGUUCUAUUCGAUGGAAUCUUCUUUUGUGGUGUCUUUGUUGGGAUUCAAUGAUUUGUUAGUUUAUGAUCUGAAUAUUUAUGACAAGUAAUCGAGUCUUUUUAAAACUUUAUUAUGCAUAAUUAUUAUCAAGGAGGAUCCCAAUGGGCCAACCCUGUGGCACAAGCUAUAGGGUCCAAGAUUUUUUUAGAGCUAAUUAACAGUAAUUUGGCCCAAGGCAACAGAGUGGCGCGGCAAGUGUGCCACAUGACCGAUGAAACCAGCCCACGCGGCAGCAAGGUGGCUGGUGGCACUACUAGGAAAAGGCCUACUAAUGGCGUGCCCGUUUUGGCUACUAAUGGCGCACUACAGGUGCGCCAUUAGUACCACGCCACUAGUAUAUUUUAGUAAUGGCGCACCACAGGUGCGCCAUUAGUAUCUGGUAUACUAAUGGCGCGAUGCGCCAUUAGUAUCCCACAUGUGCGCCAUUAGUAUCUGGUGUACUAAUGACGCACCACAUGGAAGUGCGCCAUUAGUAACAAUUUUUUUUAAAUUUUUUUCGUUUUUUCUUAAUCUCAGGUCACUAUUUCACAUAUGAGAUAUCCAACACAUAUAUAUACAACAAGCAUCCAUAUAACAAUCAUAUCCAACACACAAGUUUCAUCAUAUAUACAUACAUAGCCAACACAUAGUUCCAUUGUUACAUAUUACAAAAGUUUCAUAUUGUUCAUCAAACACCGUUAUCCAUCAAUUCACAAAAGUUUCACAUUGAUACAAAAUAAAAACACAAACGGAAAAGAAGCACUCCAUCCAUGCAAGCUUCCGUGAAUUAAAUCAAAUCUGCAAAAUGAUAAAGAAGAAGUUAGAAGAAGAAGAAGAAGAAGAAGAAGAGAAGAAGAAGAAGAAGAAGAGAAGAAGAUGAAGAAGAAGAAGAAGAAGACUAGAAGAAUACUAGAAGAAGAACACUAGAUGAAUACUAGAAGAAGAAUAAGAAGAAGAAUAAGAAGAAUAAGAAGAAGACUAUAAGCUUAUUAUGUAAACUUGAUCAUUUUGUGCUAACAUAAGUAAUUUUGGAGCUAACCUAUAGGAAACUAAGCAUAUAAGCUCUCUAAGUUAGCAUAUUAGAGCCAACUUAGGUAAAAUGAAGCUAACCUAUGUCAUUUUGGAAAANNNNNNNNNNNNNNNNNNNNNNNNNNNNNNNNNNNNNNNNNNNNNNNNNNNNNNNNNNNNNNNNNNNNNNNNNNNNNNNNNNNNNNNNNNNNNNNNNNNNNNNNNNNNNNNNNNNNNNNNNNNNNNNNNNNNNNNNNNNNNNNNNNNNNNNNNNNNNNNNNNNNNNNNNNNNNNNNNNNNNNNNNNNNNNNNNNNNNNNNNNNNNNNNNNNNNNNNNNNNNNNNNNNNNNNNNNNNNNNNNNNNNNNNNNNNNNNNNNNNNNNNNNNNNNNNNNNNNNNNNNNNNNNNNNNNNNNNNNNNNNNNNNNNNNNNNNNNNNNNNNNNNNNNNNNNNNNNNNNNNNNNNNNNNNNNNNNNNNNNNNNNNNNNNNNNNNNNNNNNNNNNNNNNNNNNNNNNNNNNNNNNNNNNNNNNNNNNNNNNNNNNNNNNNNNNNNNNNNNNNNNNNNNNNNNNNNNNNNNNNNNNNNNNNNNNNNAUAAGAAGAAGACUAUAAGCUUAUUAUGUAAACUUGAUCAUUUUGUGCUAACAUAAGUAAUUUUGGUGCUAACCUAUAGGAAACUAAGCAUAUUAGAGAUAACAUAGGUAACUAAGUAUAUAUAUAUAUAUAUAUAUAUAUAUAUAUAUAUAUAUAUAUAUAUAUAUCAUUUUGGAGAUCUGACAUACCUGACAUAGUUCAGUUCUCAUUGUUCUUCUCCUUCUCCUUCCUCAGCCUGAUGCGCCAAGAGCGGCGAGGCGGUGGAGGCAGCUGUGGGAUGUAGUCUUCUACCACAAUUGGCGUGGUCAUGUCGCCCAGNNNNNNNNNNNNNNNNNNNNNNNNNNNNNNNNNNNNNNNNNNNNNNNNNNNNNNNNNNNNNNNNNNNNNNNNNNNNNNNNNNNNNNNNNNNNNNNNNNNNNNNNNNNNNNNNNNNNNNNNNNNNNNNNNNNNNNNNNNNNNNNNNNNNNNNNNNNNNNNNNCUUCUCCUUCCUCAGCCUGAUGCGCCAAGAGCGGCCAGGCGGUGGAGGCAGCUGUGGGAUGUAGUCUUCUACCACAAUUGGCGUGGUCAUGUCGCCCAGCUGUGGGAUCACCGGCGCCACCACCGGUGCGUGGUCAUUGUCAGGCACCACCACCAUCGUGAGGCCACCUUCAGGCAGGACGGGCACGACGAUCGCUAGGUCAUCCUCAUCCACCACCAUCUCUUGCCCAUGGUCAGCCACCACCAUCUCUUCCCCAUGGUCAGCCACCACCAUCUCUUGCCCUUGGUCAGCCACCACCAGCGCUAGGUCAUCCUCAGCCUGACGCCCAUCGUCAUCUUGCAGCUUCUCAUCCCCACUCUGCUCCUCUUCUCCCCCACUCCAGUCUGGAUCAUCAUUCUUGUUGUCUUCGCUGCUGCCAGAAUCGUUGCUGCUUUCGCUAAAGCCAGAAUCGCUGUUGCUUUUGCUACAGCCAUAAUCGCUGCUGCUUUGGCUGUAGCCAGUGUCGCUGCUGCUGCUCCCAUUGCCUGUCCAAAUGCAACAAUGACCGUUAACAAUCGAUGUGAGACAAAGCCAAAUGUAGAGGAAUAAGAAGAGGCAGAACAUACUGGCAUCAUCAUCGUCAGCGUAGCGCAUGCGACACAUAGUCGCAUUGAACACCUUCACGAUGAGCAUGGUGGCGUCGUCGUCGUACCUGAAGAGAAGGAAGUACCCCAGCCGCAGGUCGUAGGCACGGUAGAACUUCUCCCACCCAUGAUACAAGUACAUGUGGCCCUCCUUGAUCACCAACUCCACAUCCCACUGCCUGCGAAACCCGCUGCCGGCCUGUUGCAGCUUCACAUUAUUUGGUGGAUCUUCACCCAGCAUGUUCAUAAAACUGUCAGGCAGCCUCUACAGUUUUUGACAAUGAGUGAUGUAGCAAACAACAGAUAUCAUAAUGAGAUGGGUGAAGGGGAGAUCUCUCCUUUUAUAUACCUGCGUCAUGGAUGAUACUAAAGUCCCAAGUAUGAUACUGAAGAACUCGGAAGCAUCCAACUCGUACUGCGGUGUGGCAGAGCGGCGGUGGCUGCUUCCCCCCAUCUCUGAUAAGCAGCAGAAGAGACCAAUUAGUACCCUUACAACAGAUCAUAAAAAAUGCAUGAAAAUAACCACUCUAUAUCAAGUUUAUCCAAGCAAAAUCUCUCAUUGUGAAAGCAGUGGGCAAAGUAACAGAGAGUAAGCUAGACAACAAGCACAACAAAUAAAAAGAAACAGGAAUGAUAAUAGGCUGUACUAAAAGUCCAAUUGUACUGGACUAUAAAUUAGGGUAACAAUGACACAGAAGAUGGGAGCACCUAGUACACAUUAGCAAUACAAAAAGGUACUACGCUUAAAAGGAAAGACCCAUACAAACACCUCAUAUUAAUAAGGUUGCUUGAACAAGUGUUAUCUAUCACUACAUUUGGGUAUUCGCACUAACAAUUCAAAAGACCAAAUGCUAACAAGGCAAUCAACUAACUUGUUCAGUUACAAAGUAAGCUCAUUUGCAGCCCCAUCAUGAUAACCACAAACAGGAAUGUCCACAGACAAACCUUUGGUUAAACAAGGUAUGUAUGGUCUCAGUUCAUCUCUCAAUUCACCAACAUGACUGAUAGGCAUGUUAAUACAUCUACCAUAUAAACCUUUGGUUCAGAAAAAGUAUGCAAACAACAUUGCAACCGAUGAUAUCAAAAUCAUAGUGCCAUUCUAAACCAAUAGCACAUUUGAUUCAAGGUAUGAGGUGGGUCAGCCAAACCCUUUUUUUUGGAACAAAGGCUGGGUAAACUAAACCUGACCAAAGCAUUAACCCUGCAAACUAGGAUUGAAACGACCAACCAAAAAGGUUGAAUUAGCUGGUCCCGAGGAAUUAGUGUUCUAAAUUCCAAUUUUGUAGUGCUGACUAGCUUAGCAAGCAAUAACUUAAGCUAAUGAUGUUACUUCCGAAGCAUAAAAUGAAAGCAAACCCAGUUAUCUAACUCGAAUCAAACGCAACCUAAGUGAGCAGCACAAAAUUCACCGACACUAAGAAACCGUGGUUAGAUCGAUACAAAGUACUACAUCUUGACCCAUGGGUGAGCCUUUUCUUGUUCUCGUUUUUCUUUCUUCUCCUUCCUCCUCCUCCUCUUCUCCUUCUUCCUUUCUUGUUCUGUUUUUCAACUUUCUUCUUAUUCUUCUUCCUUUUUUUCCUUUUCCCUCUUCUUCUACUUCUUCUUCUUUUUUUCAACUUUCUUAUUCUUCUAAUUAUCUAAACCUAAAUCUAGCACUAACCUAAACCAACCACUAACCUAAACCUAUCAAUAACCUAAUUAAACCUAAAUAGCAAGGGGGUGGUGGUGGUGAAAGUGCUCACCUUGGCUCCGGGGGCAGGGGGUGGUGGUGGACGGACGCGGUUAGGGCAGCGGCGGCGGGCCUGGCUCCGGGGGGCGCGAGGCGGACANNNNNNNNNNNNNNNNNNNNNNNNNNNNNNNNNNNNNNNNNNNNNNNNNNNNNNNNNNNNNNNNNNNNNNNNNNNNNNNNNNNNNNNNNNNNNNNNNNNNNNNNNNNNNNNNNNNNNNNNNNNNNNNNNNNNNNNNNNNNNNNNNNNNNNNNNNNNNNNNNNNNNNNNNNNNNNNNNNNNNNNNNNNNNNNNNNNNNNNNNNNNNNNNNNNNNNNNNNNNNNNNNNNNNNNNNNNNNNNNNNNNNNNNNNNNNNNNNNNNNNNNNNNNNNNNNNNNNNNNNNNNNNNNNNNNNNNNNNNNNNNNNNNNNNNNNNNNNNNNNNNNNNNNNNNNNNNNNNNNNNNNNNNNNNNNNNNNNNNNNNNNNNNNNNNNNNNNNNNNNNNNNNNNNNNNNNNNNNNNNNNNNNNNNNNNNNNNNNNNNNNNNNNNNNNNNNNNNNNNNNNNNNNNNNNNNNNNNNNNNNNNNNNNNNNNNNNNNNNGUGGCGGCGGCGGGUGGUUGGGAUGGUGGGGCGACGGGGCGAGGGGAGGUGGGGCAAUGGGGCGGCGAGGGGAGGGGGGCAACGGGGCGAGGGGAGGUGGGGCUCGGCAUUACUAACAUUUUUUUUCAAAACUACUAAUGGCGCACGGUGGGUGUGGUGCGUCAUUACUAUGUCAACUAGUAAUGACGCACUAUACAACGGUGCGCCACUAUUAACAAUUUGUUUUCAAAACUACUAAUGGCGCACCACGCACCAGGUGCGCCAUUAGUAAUAUAUUACUAAUGGCGCACCAACAUAUGGUGCGUCAUUAGUAUAUAGUAAUGGCGCACCACAUGUCUGGUGCGCCAUUAGUGGCCAUAUCAUCUAUAGCCCUUUUCCUAGUAGUGUGGCGUCGCUUCCAACAGCCCACUACCCAUGGCACAUGCGUAUACCGGUAUACGCUCGAUCCCUUCGCACGCAAAUCGAUCCAUCUCCGUUCCCCUAAUCUCCUGCAAGUUUGUAAGAAAGUAGCGAUCCAUCUUCCCAAUCCCAGAUUUUUCUGCACUAAAAAAAAGAAAUCGGUGUAAGGGAAUAGCAUAGAUGGUGCUCCCAAUGGCUCCUGUACGGACAGCCCCUGCGGGCGUCCCUGGCGGGGCGGCCAUUCCGCGCCUAGCCUCGCUUCCGGUGACCACGGCGCUGGCGCUCUGGCCUCGGUGGGAGGCUGGUCGGCGGCUGCCUUGACGGCGUCCAGGCGGGCGGCCGGCCCUUCCCAGGGCGCGGCAAGGUGGUCGGGGAGCCGAUUCUAGGCUCUGGCAGAUGAGGACUCUGGUGGCGAAGAGGAGGUUGAGGUGUGUAACGAGGCGGGGUCAGAGGUGGGAGGCCGUGCGGCUUGCUCCAUUGGUGACUUUGUGUCGCGCACGGAGGAGCUUGGGGGCUCCUUCAAGGCCGGGCACCGGCGUGCUUUUGCGCCCGGAGUACGUGGUUCAAGGCGGACCAUGCUGGCCGCGGGCAGGGUGCCGCGCGCAACUCCUGGGCGUGAGGGCCGUGGCAGCCCUGACGCCUCCGACGCGGGUCUGCUCCUGUGGCCUGCACUGGGCCAACUCUGCACGGUGCAGGCGGCUCCCCUGGCCGCGGCGGCGGCGUAGGCGGAACCUGGUGCUGUGCGACCUAGGGUUGGGGAUGACCCGCCUGGGGCUGUGCUGGGCCAGGCCGCUAGGGUCACAGGCGGCCCAACUACGAGGCCAACGCGUGCGGCGGCCGAGUCUCGUGCAGAGCCAGUGGCGCAGGGGGCCUCGCCCGUUCUUGGGGCCCAGCCCGGCCCAUGGGUGGAAACCCAGCCCACGCCUAUCCGUGUCGCGCAGCCAUAUAAAUGGCUCUGGCUUCCCCGUGGAACCCUAAACAUCUCACUAGGGUUUCCGGCCUCCAAAUCGAAGGUGCGGCGCUUCGGCCACUCCGCUCGCUUUCUCUCACCCACUCCUUCCCCUCCUCCUUUGCUGCGCUCUUUCGUGGAAGUGGUGGCGAUGGGAUCCAAGCAAGACCGUCGGCAGGAGAAGCCGCCCAUGGAGCCUCCGCGGGACCGCAACCGCGGGCGGGCCAAAGACGAGGGAGGAUGGGGGCCGCCGCCCGCAUGGUGGCUCAAGGAGCAGGAAAGAAAGAAGAAGUAGAACAAGAAGGAAGAGUACAAGAAGAGAGGGCUCGAUCUCAAGAGCAAGGAGCAGCAGGCAUCUCAGGGCGGCAACCGCGUCGGCGACUCUCAUGCGAAGAAGCAGAAGUCCAAGUCUGUGGGGGCGGCGGCUUCCAAACCGCCCCUACCGCCCAGAUCUGAGGCGCCUGGCUCGUCCAAGGGCACGGAGGAGGAGCCGAUCCCCAUCGAAGAAGCCGACGGCCCGGAGUGCUUCAAAUGCGGUCGCACAUGCCACUUCUAGAACCUGUGCACCUUCCAGCCGUUGUGCAUGGUGUGCAACAAGGAGGGGCACACUUCGGCGCAGUGCCCAACCCGCGGCAAGCCCCUGCUCCUCGAAACCAUGGGGCACGCCAUCUCCGGCGAGGGCUUCUUCUGCCUCCAGUACUCGGAAGAUGCGCGGGAGGAGCCACAGAUCCUGCUGGGGGCCAACACGGCGGUGCUUUCCAUGCCUUUCGGUGCGCUCUCGCAGGAGAUCUUGGAAGUACAGCUGUCGCUCCUAUUUGAGGGAGCUUGGGAUUGGCAGAUCUCUCCUCUUGAAGGCGGCGCGUUCUCGGUGGUGUUCCUAGAUCCAGCGAUGCUCAGGAUGGCUACACGGAGCGGCAAGCUUUUCCUCUCCCUCAACAAUCUCAUGGUGGAUAUCCGUGAUGCGGCCCUCGACGCGCCCAAGGGAUUGGAGAUGCCGGAGGUCUGGGUCAAGCUGGGCGGCAUCCCACCCAAGCAGAGGUGUUCCGACCGGCUCAUGGCGGCCACCACUAUGCUCGGCAGACCCCUGCUGGUCGAUGAGGAGUCGUUGAUCCGUCCGGGGCCGGUCCGCAUGCGUUUCGCCUGCCUCAACCCAUGCAAGCUCCGCGGUCUGGUUCAGAUUUGGUUCAACGGCGAAGGCUUCAACAUCUCCGUCGAGCCCGAGCUUCCCCGGAGCAACUCGCGGCGCCCGCCCUCCCUUCCCCACCCCCUCCUCCUCCCAACCAUGGCAAGGACCCAGAUGGGAUGGGGCGUGAUGGUGACAAGGACGGGGACAAGGAGCUUGAUGCUAGCAUGGAGGACGACUCCAUCGAUACAACGGCAUGGGAGAAGCUGGGCAUCACCGACAAAGGCGGGGCGACGACUCGUGUGUGCAGUAGCCUAUGAUGGAGCAGUCACUUGCGGGAGGGUCGUCGGAGAGGGAGCUCUCAAUCCCGAACCAGUACGGCUCCAACCUGGGGUCGGUCACGUCCCCCCCGGUGAGGAUGGAGGCGGCGGUGGUCUCAGACCAGAUGGAGGAGCUGCUGGACGAUGUGCGCACCCAUAUUGCGGUGUCUGCGGACUCGCUGCUGCUGCCUCUCUCAUUGCGCCUCCGACCCAAGGCGGCCGCAGCAGCAACAAGCUCGGCGCGGUGAAGCAGCUCAAGAAGAUGGCGGUGCGCAAGGUUAGCGCGGAGGUCGGGCGUGCAACGGAGCUCUUAGUGGCCUCGGCGACGCCGUGCCAGGCGUUGAUGGCUCUGGCAGUGCUUGCCCCCGCCCCGCUCGUUCAGGAGACGUCCAAGACGGCGCCCUCCCCAAAGGCCAAGUGCUCCAAGGCCGUGGUGGAGGGGCUGGUGGCUCCAGUGCGGGUCAGUGCGCGUGCCAAGGGCGCCAAAGGAAACAUGUCGUCGCUCCAGCGCGCCCAACUCCUUCCAGCACAGAAGAUCCUGGAAACCUCAGGUAACCCCUUGCCUCGUUUUUCUGGACUCCUUUUCGGACGAUCAUUUGAGUGAGGUAUUGGGGGAGAGUGGGGUGGAACCGACUGGAGAGGGAGAUGGCGCAGGCGGCGCUGGCAGCGGCUGCUGCUCAACACGUGGAUCGUCUGGCAGUGGAGGCUGAGCCCUCGACGUCGCUAGCGAUCCGGCCCGAUGGGGAUACAGCAACAGGGGUUGCUGCUCCUCCCUCGCCUCGCUGUGGCAAGGUGAGUCGCGUGGCCAAGGCGAUCACCUCCAGGGGGGUGCGCCUGCGAAACCGCGUCAUUUAGAUGUGUGCGCUUCUAUGGAACAUUUCGUGGCUUCGGCCACUCGGGUCGGCGCAUCCAAUUGAGGGAUUACAUUAGGAAGAAGCUAUAGAUAUCGUAGGGCUCCAGGAAACGAUUAAAUCAGAGUUUCAGCAUCAAGAUAUCUUAGCUAUUGAUCCCCUCGAGCGCUUUGUUUGGCACCAUAGCCCGGCAAAUGGCCAUUCGGGUGGCAUGCUGCUAGGAUUCUACAGCGCCAUGUUCGAGGUACUAACCUGGGAGGUUGGCACUUUCUUCAUUGCGGCCAACAUCCGCGUGCGUGCGUCACUUCGCGAGCUCAUGAUCGUGCAAGUCUAUGGACCAGCAGAUCACUCACGCUCGACCGAGUUCUUGGGAGAACUCGAAGCCAAGGUGAUUGCGGUAUCUGUAGCACAGAUCCCUCUAAUGGUGGGUGGUGACUUUAACCUGAUUCAUUCGAGGGCAGAUAAAAACAACGACAACAUCAAUUGGCCAAGGGUGGCCAUGUUCAACAACACGAUUGCGUCUAUGGAACUUAGGGAAGUGGCUAGAACAAGGGCGAGGUAUACUUGGACGAACAAGCAACUAGCCCCGGUGCGAUCCGUCCUGGAUCGUGCAUUCGUGUCUCCGGACUGGGAAGUGGUGUUUCCCUUAUGUUCGCUCCUUGCUGAAACAAGGAUCGGAUCGGACCAUGUUUCCCUCAUCUUAUCUUCCGGGGAAGAUAGGAUUCACUGCAGCCCGCGUUUCUUCUUUGAAACCGCGUGGUUUGAGGUUCCUGACUUUGACACCAUCUUUAGGGAGAGAUGGAUGCGAUGUGCCCAACUCACAGGCCAGCAACGCGGCCCAAUGGCGUUUUGGAUCGCUGUUGGGUGUCGCCUCUGCGCAAGCCUAAAGAGGUGGGGCGCGAACCAGGGGUGUGACGACAAGGUCCUCAGGGCGAGGCUCCUUGGUGAAAUAGCACUCCUCGACAACCAAGCGGACACGCGACCAUUCUCUGAGCAAGAAUGGGCGCAGCGAUAUGCCUUGGAAGGGCAAGUCGAAGCUCUGCUACGAUCGGAGGAGGAAUAUUGGAGGCGUAGGGGAGGCCUCAAGUGGACGCUCAAAGGCGAUGCGAACACCAAGUAUUUCCAUGCAUAUGCGAACGGCUGGCAGAGGAAAUGCUCAAUUCUUAGGUUGCGGACGGAGCAGGGGCUUCUUCUACAGCAAUCGGAGAUUACCCAACAUAUCUACGACUUUUAUAUUAGUCCGAUGGGGACCGACAAGGCUCAACGAGCGCGUCUGCGAGCGGCCGUCUGGCUCCCGUCUCAACAGGUCCUAGAUAGCGAGAACGAAGAGUUGGGGCUCGCGUUUCUCCCUAAGGAGAUAGACGAUGGACUCCUUAGCAUGAAAUCAGAAACGGCCCCGGGGCCGGAUGGGUGGCUGGUGGCGAUGUUUAAACAUUUUUGGCCAUUGUUGUGCGAUCCCAUAUACGAUGUGUGUAACGGCUUCAUGUGUGGUUUCAUGGACAUCGCUAGGCUAAACUACGGUGUGCUCUCGUUAAUCCCGAAAGUGUCUGGGCGGACAACAUUCGCCAGUACAGACCCAUCGCGCUCAUUAACGUUCCGUUUAAAAUCUGUGCCAAAGGCUACGCCACACGGCUCACGCUGAUCGUACAUCGCACCAUAAGGCGUUCCCAAUCGGCGUUCAUACGUGGUAGAAACAUUUUGGAGGGGGCGUUAGCUUUGCAAGAGACCCUUCACGAGCUUAAGCGCACGCACGAACCUGCGAUCCUCCUCAAAUUAGAUUUCAAGAAGGCUUACGACCGCGUCAAUUGGGAUUUCCUCCGUCAGAUCCUCACCAGUCGAGGCUUCUCGUUGGUGUGGGUGCAUCGAGUCAUGCAAUUGGUCUCGGGGGGCGAAACUGCGGUCUCGGUGAAUGGAGAAGUAGGGCACUUCUCCAGGAACAAGCGCAGCUUGCACCAAGGCGAUCCCAUGUCACCUCUCUUGUUCAAUUUUGUCGCCAACGCGUUGGCAGCUAUGCUGCGGAAAGCCGCGGAGGCAGGGCACAUAAAAGGGGUGUUGGGACACCUCAUCCCAGGGGGCAUAUCCCACUUGCAAUACGCGGACGAUACGUUAUUGUUGUUCCAACCCGACCUCCAUAGUGUGGCUACGGUCAAAGCCUUGCUAAUUAGCUUCGAACUCAUGUCGGGACUUAAAAUUGACUUCCACAAGUGUGAAGUGAUGCCUAUGGGCAUGGAAGCGCAUGAAGGUAGGCGUAUUGCGGAUCUGCUCAAUUGCAAACUAGGCAAACUCCCGUUUACCAACCUGGGACUCCCGUUGAACGCCAAACGCAUCACGAUCGAUGGGUGGGCUCCCCUCUGGACCAAGGUGGGAGGGCGGGUAUGUCCGUGGAGGGGGAAGUCCUAUCCUCUACGGCUAGGUUGGUGCUCACGAACACGAGCCUCUCCUCACUGCCGCAAUUUGCUAUGCGUCUGUUCCUCCUGGCAGAUGGGGUUCAUGCCAAGAUGGACACACCUCGGUCUCAUUUCUUUUGUGAAGGAUCGGGACCCAAACGCAAGUACCACAUGGUUAAAUGGGCUGCGGUGUGCCGUCCCAAAGCCAGGGAGGGCUAGGGAUCACAAACACCACAAUCUUAAACUAGGCAAGUUUUCGGUCAAGUCACUUUACCGUAAGUUGUGUCAGGGCCAGUCCUUCCAGGUGCCAAAGGGCUUGUGGAACUCGCGUCUCCCGCUUAAGAUUAAGGUGUUCUUUUGGCAACUGUUUCGUAACAGACUGCCCACUUCGGCUAACGUUGCCAAACGCAAUGGCCCGUCGACCGGCCUAUGUGCGAUAUGUAAAGUCACGGAGGACACGAACCACGUAUUCUUCCGCUGUCCGCUGGCAUGUUUUGCUUGGAGUGUCGUUCGUGCAGCGGCCAAUACCUCCUGGGACCCUCGGUCGGCCUCCGACCUCGCGGCCAUAGUAGACUCUAUUCAAGGAGGAAACAAUCGUGUGCUUUGGAGUUGCAUCGGAGCCUUGGCCUGGGCUCUCUGGCUCACUAGGAACAAACUAGCGAUCGAGGGUAUCUUCCCAACCCACCUUGCUAACAUAAUCUACAAAUGCAACCUUUUCCUGCAGCAGUGGAGUCCCUUGGCGAGGCGCAAGGAUGCUGAGAAACUGAAGCAAGCUCAAGAACGUCUGCGUCAUGUCUACAUUUUGGCUAGGGAGCCAUCCGCCACUUCUAUGCCGUGAAGUGGCCCUUUUGUCACGCGAGCGAGCCUGCGUGCUCUAUGCUCUGGCUUCGGGCCUUGUAAUUGCAUCGCUGCGUGCUUCUUUUGGCCUGUUUUAAACUCUUGUGACUCCGCGUCGGCGGGGCCUGAGCCUCCGUGCUCGUGUUCGAUGUUCUAAGACUCUGUUUGUUACGCUGCCUAAGUUGUGGGCUUUAUUAAUUUAAAGCCGGACACGUCUAGCGUCUUCGUUCUAAAAAAAAUGUUGAUCCGUCUCAUCUUCUCUUGUAUUCUAUCCCGAGCAAGCGAGGAGAGCAAAUCGAUGUGCAGCGGUGGCGGGGAUUGAUUGAUCGAAUCGAUCCGUUCAUGAUAGGUGGGCGGCCGACAAACGCGUACCCGAAGCAACGGCAAUUGGCAGGCCGCAGACUGCGAUCGACGACUGACGCUGCCGCCUGCCGUGCCAGCGUGACCGCGAGGAGUCAUGGCCACCUCGCACGACGGAAUUUCUCUUCUCCUUGUUAGCUAAUUAGUACUAACUUGUUUUUGAAUUUUUCAUUUAGAUUACAGUCAUUACUUGAAUUUUUGGUGUUGUUUCUUCUAUAUAUGUUUUCACAAGUCGCAACAAUUGUAUGGAUAAAAUUGGGGCUAGUAUGUAAAACCUUAUUAAAAUAUAUUUAAAUGUAUGUCUUUUGGCAAAACAUGGGGCAUCAACUAUUGUUUUCAGUUGUAACUAGGUAUACUUCAUUGGCUUACAAUUUUGAUUUAUCAUUUUUAUUUUUAAUUGUUAAAUGCAGAUAAUAUGGAGAAGUUUCUUCUCAAAAGAAAGGCACCAUCACAUUCGCAAUUAGGUAUCCAUGACAUCGUUUUCAAGUAAUUUUGUCGCACUAUAUUAAGCAGUUUGACUAUUGCCUUUUGUUUUCAUAAAUUGAUGUCUAUUAUAUUUGAUAAUUCAUGUUACAAGUUGUCAAACACAUCUUUAUUAGUCAAUUGUUGCUUGAAAAUUUUAGCGUCGUGGUUAAGUAGUGGAUCAGGGUAACAUUAGCUCCAGAUCCGCCCCUGAUUAUUAUAGCUUUGUAAUUCUCUCCGAUCUAUCCAUUUGGUUUGGCCAACUAGAUUAAUUUAUCUUCAAUGGGAGAGGUGCUUUGUAAUGGGUUCAAUCUUGCGGUGCUCUAUAUCCUAGUAACAUAGUAGGGGAUAAGACACGUAUUUGUAUUAUUGUCACUAAGGGUAAAACGACGGGGUUUAUUCAUAUUGAUUGGCUUUACUUUGUCUACAUCAUGUCAUCUUACUUACGGUGUUACUUUUUUUUAUAAACUUAAUACCAUAUAUGCAUAUUCUGGAUAGCGGUUGAUUGGUGGAGUAGUAGUAGUUAGUGCAAGCACGAGUCCGCGGCGACGCAAACACAGCAAAACUUGGGUCCGAAAUGAGUGGCAGACGGACGAUGAGCCAUGAUUUCUGUUUGUUUCCACCCAAAUGGACGUGAGCGGAUCAAAUGGAUGGGCGCGUUGAAGUUAGCCUAACUAACUAGUCACUAAUUAAUCAUGGAUACUGCUUCCUCUCUCUCGACUUGGGCAACAUUGAAAAUAUUGUACAUCAACUACAGUAACGGUUGACCAAGUGCUUUCGUCAAAAUGUCCUCCACUUGUUCUUGGAGGAGAUGAACUUCCAAAGGCGACUUAAGCCUAGUUGGUUAGUUUAAUCUCUGACCAUCCACUUGAGAUGCUUCUUUUUAGAAGCGUAAUCCACUUGUGAGACACUAAUGGACGCUUGAUGCUUCUAAUAGAGUAAGCAACUUAUAUAUAAGCCUAUCACGUCUCGUUUACUUUCCUUGUUUGCCUUUUCCGCUUAAUUUCUUUGAUGGGAGCUGGUUUCCGGCUCCAUCUUUUCUGCCAAACAAAAAUUGUAGCAGAAGUAAACGAGGGUUCACAAGUUGCUUUGUCAUAACAGUUUGGUAUCUUAUAGAACUAUUCAAACAACCACUCUCAUUCGAAACAAGACAAAGAUAUAGUGCUCCAAUUACAAGAAUGGUUGAUCGAAUUGCUACCUGCUAGUGGGACUUGGUCAAAAUAUCCACCACUAGAUCUGGGAGGAGAUGAACAAGAGCAUCUUCCAAAUGACUUGCUCAAUAAUGCGCAUCCAUUUUGCAUAAAACACCAAAUUUACUGCAUGCAUAGGAAGAAAUGCAGGCUAUUAUUGGUGCCUUUAUCAACAAAUGGUUGUUCAAUAUCCUCAACAAAUUUUGCUUGUAGUCUUAAAAGAAAGUUUUGUGCGAUGAUACCAUCAACAGAUAAGAGAAUGUAAAGAAGAAUGUUGCAAUUCGGGUAAAUUACUAGGAGUAGUUGUCAACACAAGCAUUUGCAUGGGCUGAACUACUAUAAUGCUUUUAAUUAAUAACUAACUUGGACCAUAUAGACUACAUAACUUUUAUGUUUUACGGAAAUGGUUUCGCUAUCUUUGGAAUAUAGCUUCUUACAUUAUAAUAUAUCUCAUCUUCCUUAGUAGAGUUAGCAUGAUAUUGCAAUAUCUUCUGUUGUAGGAUAGUUAUUGCUUUAAAAUUAAUUCUUGACUUAUUAUUUCUCUAAAAAUGUGUCCUAAAAUUGGAUCAAACAUGUAAUUAGGUAUUAAUAUUACCAAUCUAUCGAGAAAUUUUUUAUCAAAAAAAUAAGCUAUUGAGACAUUUAGCUUGAAAAUUAGACAUGAAAACAUCACAUACUUGUUCAGCUUUACAUCACAAUCUUGUUAAUUGACAGUACAAACUUUUUUCCAUGAACUAUGUACAAUUAUAGUCAUAUAUAGCAUAAAAAUAAUCUGAUAUGAAAUAUGUUUCCGUGUUAAGUUGUUUUUGCAUGGAUACCAUAGUCUUGUACAUCAAUGAAAAAAAUUUGAUUUCUUGAUCAAUGUUAUAGCUUCUAUUUAAAACAUUGUGACGGUUGUUAUUGGAUGCAUAUCAGUUAUCUACAUCUUAAGUUUAGGUCUAAUAAUAAUCCUAUAAUAAAUUGUUAGUGUGGAUUAGUCGGUGCCCAGUCUUUUGUGGUAAUUUACCAAACUUAUCCAACAGAAAUGCCAUGGCUUUUGCUUUUUCAAAUGGCAUAAAUAAAAGUUACAUGCAACCAUUCCUGGCAAAAGGCUACUCAAUGUCUAUCAUUUUACUAGUAUAAUUUACCCAAAAAGAAAAAAUAAUUUACCCGACCCAACUAUAUUAUCCCCCAAAAAAAAACUAUAUUAGCCCCAAGUAGAAAACAAGAAGUACCCAUGAAAAAUAAUGAUUAUACACAUGAAUUCUCCGCGUUCAUGUAUAGUUUAGUUAGUUCUUGCAUUUUGGAUGAUGUAUUCUAGCUGUUAACAAUCUUCAUGAACGGUGUGUCCAAAAAGAAUCCCCAUUAUUCCAUUGUAGCUUCCUCUGCAGAAUUGUCCACCUUCAUUAUUUCUAUCAGUCGAUUAUGUUUCAACACACCUAAUUCGCAACCAAUUAUUCAAAGAAUGCAAACCCAUUGACUUACCUAUGUUUCUCUUUGACAUGUCCUACAUAAGGCACGAAUAAUAAACAUCUGAUAAUAUGGGAUAUUAAUUACAACUACAUAGAAAAACACGGUAGUAGCACCCCGCAAAAAAAACAUGGUAGUCGUAAAUUAUGUUCACGUUUAUCAUGUACAGUUUUUUCACUCUAUAGAGAAUGUUAAUGCUCAGAAAGUCUAAGGCUCUACACUUUUCUAUCUCUAGAAUUUUUGCAGUGGUUAACCGAUCGAGUAUCUUUUUCGAUUGACUGAAGGGAAAUUUGGUCUAAAUGAGAUCUUAAUGUUCAUUUACCUUGUGUGACGUGAUUAUUGGAUUAAUGGCCUGAACAUGUUUAUUUGUGUCGAAGCUGGUUGCUUGGUUUGAUGUUCUGUACGAAGAAGACACAUUCAUGGGUUUAUAGACUACUGGUCGACGUAGACCUAUUCUACACUGCCACAUAAACAAGCCCAACUAACUCCAUCUUCAAGGAGUAAGGACAGAAGAAACAGCUUAAUUGUUCCAUAUAUUUAACAAAUACUACUCAGACAACCCAUACAUCUCUCAACUGGACGAAGAUUGAAAAAUUGUAGUGCACCAAUUGCAUGGAAUGGUUGAGUCCGUCAAAGUUCCCAGCACUUGACAGUGUGAGGGGAUGAACUCAACCUAUAGGCAUUCAUUCUUGUGUAUACGUGGACCCUAACUAACUAGUCACUAAUUAAUUAAGUCUAGAUGGUGCUUUCUCUCUCAACACGGGCAACAUUGAAAAUAUUGUAUAGAUCAAGUGCUUUGGUCAAAAUGUCUACCACUUGCUCCUGGAGGGGAUGAACUUCCAAAGGCUACUUAGCCUAGUUGGUUUAGUUCAAUUUAUGACCAUCCACUUGAGAUAAUAGUAGAAGCAUCAUGCUUCUAAUAGAGUAAGCAACCUACAUACAAGCAUAUCAUGUCUCAUUUACUUUCUCUCUUUGUACUUUCUUGCAUGGUUUCUUUAAUGGGACCUGGUUGUCGGCACCCUACAUCUGUUCUGCACAAAAAAGAAUUGUAGCGGAGGGAAAAAGAAUUCACAAAUUGCUUUGUCACAACAGUUUGAUAUCUUAUACAACUAUUCAAACAACCUCUCCCAUUUGGAACAAGACAGAUAUUGUGCUCCAGUUACAAGAAUGGUCAAUCGAGUUGCUACCUGUUAGUGGGGCUUCAUCAAAAUUGGGAGGAGAUGAACUAUAGCAUCUUAAAAAUAACUGGCUCUAUAUGGAUGUCCAAUUUUUUUGCAGCACUUUGCUUCUCCUUUUCUUCACCCUCCAUUGUUGACGCAUUCUUGAGAAGACUCGAUGACGUGAUGUCCAUAUCGUUAUCCCUGUCUUAAUGUAAACCUGCAUCCCCUAAGGGUCGUUUAUGGGGCAAACUACCCGUGCCAGUCCGGCUGCCACCACGGCCAAGUCCAUGCCCCCUCUGAACGACGUGCCCCUUGGACAAGUAGAAAAACCACCAGGGUUACCACUCUGGACACUAGGGAAAACCCUUCUUACUGCCACCAUUCAGUCCCCAUACUCUAUAUCAUCUCGUGCAUGGACUCCAGCCGCAUUCUUCCAGAUUAUGACCAAGGAUGCCGCAAACUCCACAAAAGUAACCAAUCUUCUCAUACUUCGCUAGCAUGAAAAUGCUCUCCUAUCCAUUGAGAUUCAAAGGUGUAACCGUGACCAGAGGCUUUGCCACUUCAAUUUUACCCCUGACACGAACAUCAUUGCACUGAAAGACCCUAGUUCGGUUCAUCGUGAGACUUAGCAAGACUGAUUAAUUAAUAUGCGUGCAUGCUACCUAAUGUUAAUUAGAACAUUAAGUGCAAUCAUCAUUCCACACUGGAUAUUUUCAGGCACCUUAAACCUGUUGCAUGCCAUCUCAUUCACUCAGUUGUGCCGCGACAUCUUAAACCUGCGCUAGUCAUCCAACCCAUGGGGUCCUAACCACUCUGGAUAUUUUCCUUUGGAACAUCUUCAAAAUUUCUUACAUUAUCAUGGGGAAAUUUCGGCAAUUGGCAUGUAGAAUAAAGAUGAUAAUAUGUAGAACAAAAAUUAAGCCUCGUAAUGUGCUAUACUAGGCCGGUUUAUCUUGACUUGGUAUUCUCCUACGAGUACUUUACAAGAGAGAGUGGUUUAGACUUGGUCACUUAGAUCUCUCUCCACCAAUGGAUGAAAGGGUAAGACUUGACGAUGACCAAGCAUAGAAAAGUUUAUAUUUAGAUGCUUUUCAUGAGGGGAAUGUCUAAGUAACAUAUGCCACUCAUAAUGAAUAAGACAAUUGUAGUACUGUUAGUGAUGCAAUCACUAGUAGAAAACAGCGCUUUUAUUCGGCAGAAAAGAGCAUUAAUCCCGGUUGCGUUACGAACCGAGACUAAUGUGAGCAUUAGUCCAGUUCGAGCGGCCAGGGCACUGUACAGGCAUUACUCCCGGUCCAAAUGGGACCUUUAGUCCCGGUUGGUGCCACGAACCGGUACUAAAGGUCUAACCUUUAGUACCGGUUCGUGCCACGAACCGAUACUAAUGGGGUUGAGACCUUUAGUGCCGGUUCGUGCGACGAACCGGUACUAAUGGUGCAAUUUUNNNNNNNNNNNNNNNNNNNNNNNNNNNNNNNNNNNNNNNNNNNNNNNNNNNNNNNNNNNNNNNNNNNNNNNNNNNNNNNNNNNNNNNNNNNNNNNNNNNNNNNNNNNNNNNNNNNNNNNNNNNNNNNNNNNNNNNNNNNNNNNNNNNNNNNNNNNNNNNNNNNNNNNNNNNNNNNNNNNNNNNNNNNNNNNNNNNNNNNNNNNNNNNNNNNNNNNNNNNNNNNNNNNNNNNNNNNNNNNNNNNNNNNNNNNNNNNNNNNNNNNNNNNNNNNNNNNNNNNNNNNNNNNNNNNNNNNNNNNNNNNNNNNNNNNNNNNAAGAAAAUGAUAAAAACUUCAAAAGUUAAAAUCCUUCGAGAUGUAGUUAUGUUACCACAUCUACUAGUUAGAAAAAAUUAAAAACUUCAAUUUGGGCAUCUUUUGCAAAAAGUGCAGGGAAAAUGUAAAACGGCUAUAACUUUUGCAUACGAUGUUAGAAAAAACAUAUAAUAUAUCAAAAUGUUCAGCACGAAAAUCCGCAUCCAAUUUUGACGGCCUAUGGCCUGUUUGCAAAAAUUUAGAAUCCUCAAAUUCUAAAAGGAAAAAAAGUUAUGCUCAAAUUUCAGUUUUUUUUGAUUUUUUGUUAAAUCUAAUCAAACUAUGGUCAAACUACUUAUUCAAAAAGUAUUAGUGUUAAUAAAUAAUUAUUCAAGAAUAUUAGUGUUACUAAAUAAUUAUUUCUGGUUUUUUGAAUUUUGGUCAAAUCUGGUCAAAUUGUGGUCAAACUAUGGUCAAGCUAUGGUCAAACAAUGGCCAAACUACUUAUUCAAGAAAUAUUAGUGUUACUAAAUAAUUAUUUCAGUUUUUUAGAAUUUUGGUCAAAUUUGGUCAAACUAUGGUCAAACUACUUAUUCAAGAAAUAUUAGUGUUACUAAAUAAUUAUUGUUUUUUAGAACAAUAAUUUCAAACUCAAACAGUGAAAUGUGUGACUUCAUGCUCAAGCUAAAUUCCUGAGGGUUAAUAGGAUUGACAUCUUAUUAUUGUUAGGAAAACAACGAGUGCAGACUUCGAAACGAGGGAGAAUAGAACCCGGAAGUUAAGCGUGCUCAGGCUGGAGUAAUGAGAGGAUGGGUGACCGUCCGGGAAGUUAGGUUAUUUGGAAUGAUGAGGGGUGAUUAGAGAUUAGAGGUUAAAUUGAACAGUGAUGAGGAGUGAUUAGAGAUUAGAGGUUAAAUUGAACAGUGAUGAGGGGUGAUUAGAGAUUAGAGGUUAAAAUAAUUCAGAACUUUGAAAAUAAAAAAAAAUCAUGAAAUUUUCUGCAGUAAAGGCCCUUAUGAACCGGAACUAAAGGCCCUUUUUCUACUAGUGAAUUCCAGAGACAACACCUCAAGCGAUAGGGAAAAAAUGCCUGACACACCUCAGCGGUGCCUCCAAGGAGGAGAACGGUACCCAUGGGCGUCGUUGCCGCCCGCCCCAUCCGAAGAAAGGCAGGAUUUUCAUCUCCAAUGUCGUGUACCUCCCACCCAUCCCAUAGGAGUAUGAUCAUACUGUCCAUGAUGGGUCACGCCGCCUUCGCCGCAGCACCUCGCAAACGUACCCGAACCGUCACGGAUCACCAAAACCCGGCACGGCCAAGGACACGCGGUUCAUCUCCACCUCCUCCCCGGGCCAAGAACAAGCAGCCCCUUUAGUCCUCCCCAUCAUCGAACACCAGCACCACGAGCAACAAGUCCCGGCACUCCAGGCGUACAAGCCCAUCGCAGACAUGGCCCUGGGACCCAGACCGGAUCUGGUCAGCGUCAUCGCCACCCACACCUGCAGCACUGCUUCGUACAACAACUCCGGCAUCGCCCGCAACCCAAAGGCACGACUGCAGAGCAGGAACCACCCGGCCGCCGCACGCGCAACAUCUUCUGGCCGAGCUCCACCUCCCUCUACAACCUCAGGCAAACCAUGCCGACACUUACACCAUCGCCCGUCGGAGAACCACCACGCGCCGACCACACCUCUGCAAGCUCUGGACCCGGCUCCGCCCCACCACCGCGAUCCCCACCGCGUGCCACCAGGAAGCCUCCCCGUGCUGCCCCUUGACGCGGCUCCCGCUCGCAAGGAGCUCCGUUCGGCCGCGCCAUCCACACCCUUUGCCUUUGACGAACGGGUGCCGCCACCACCGACGGUAGCGGCAGUGACGGACAGAGGAGCACCGGGAAGAGGGCACACUGGGGGCUAGGAUUUUCCCAUCCGAAGCCGCCCGCGCGAGCGGCUCGGGAGGGAGAGGGGAAAGUUUGAUUUCCUUCAACGGGGCUUUCCAGCUACAACCCCCUCCCUUUUCAAUAAAGAGUAACAAAAAACUGACAAAUUGAUGCACAAGAUUUUUUGUUGUGGUUGCUAUUUUGGGCUUUCGGGGAUGACUAAACACCAAAGUUAUGCUCAAUGAACACCUCACCACGGCUGCCUCAUGCAUCAGCAUGACAGCGUGACAUUUCUCAACAGCAACAACAACAACGACAACAACAAUAACAAGGCUGCUUGAUUGUUUUUUCUUAUAAGAAGCACACUUCAUAUGUUUAGACUCCACUUGUAUGUAUAAUCAAGUGAAGUCGUCUGGGUAAGGAGUAAUUAAUGAACAUGGAGUUAGGUGGCCUUGUAGAAUGGGUCUACCUCGACCCGUGUAUAUAAACCCGUGCAUGUGCCUUCUCCCUCCACAGCAGCAAACCAAGCAACAAGCUUGCUAGCUUAGAGAGCCAUGGCACUCCAACGACCUCCACUGUUGCUCCUUUGCUUCCAUCUGCUGGCUGCAUUACACACAACCUCCUAUGCGGCCUUGAGCUCACACCUGCCGCAAGCCAUGGACUGUUCAACGUCCGGGAACUACACCUCUACCAGUGCCUACGCCGCCAACCUGAACAAAUUCCUUGCUUCCCUCCCGGAGAAGACUAUCUUCAAGAACGGUGGCUUCAUCAACGACACGGUCGGGGAGGGCACGGGCACUGUGUACGGCCUCGCAAUGUGCUCCGCUGACUACUCGCGCUCUGACUGCGGUGACUGCCUCGCGGCCGCUGCCAGCAGCAACGCUAAUGGUCUGCCGAACCGCUGCCCUGGGAGCACCACUGUGCUCGCCUGGUUCGACCCGUGCCUCGUCCGCUACUCUGACACCAACUUCUUUGGCACCGCUCAGACAGGUAAUUGUUUUCUUUCUGAUGAUAUAUGUGUUGUUUCACAUAAGAUUAGGUGUAAAAUCUGGAUGAAUUUCACCUGUAAAAUAGAACAAGUGCAUUUUUUUUCCGAAAUGGAGGUUAUAUUCCCGUCCUCUGCAUGGAUUGUUACAUACCAAAACAAGUAGCUAGCUCUUUUAGAUAAGAUCAAUUAGGUGUAAAAUAUGCACGAAUUCCGUGAUCAUAAUUCCCACCAAAAAAAAUGGAAUUCCAUGACCAUAAAAAAACUGUGUGCUUCCGUGCGUGCAGGUGAAAUCUACACGCUGAAUGGUCCAAGAGCCAUCUGGGAGCCGCUGCAGUACCGUAACGACGUAGUCAGAAACUUGAACGAGUCGAUAGCGGCCGCAGUGGCCUCGUCGCAGCGAUUCGCGGCAUCGUCGACGGAUCCAUACACGUUGGUUCAGUGCACGUGGGACCUGCCGCCGGACCAGUGCAAGCAGUGCCUGGACGUGCUGACGGCCAAUGCGUCGAAGGACUGGACAUCCAUGGCAGUAGAUGGUAAGCGUAGGAGCUACAGCUGUUCUGUUAGGUACGGCAACACAAGCUUCGUGGUUGUGCCGUUCGGUGGUGCCCCUACGCCGCAAUCUGUAGAUCAAGCGACCACAUCAGCUAAUCAGUCGAGCAGCGCCGCGGGGAAAGGUAUGUAUGCAAGGCCCUACGCGACACACACAGAUGCAUGCAUGCUAAUAACCUGUGAACAAAGUUAAUAAAACAUAAUUUGUGAAAUCGGGGAAAGAUCGCUUUCAUUCAAAAAAAAAUGAAUAUCACAAAAUUCUGAACAAAAAAUAUGUUGUUCUAACAACAAGAAUCUGUCAGACUACAAUAUUUGAGAUCCAAAUUGAAAAACUCUAGGAAAUCAUAACUCUUUCUUGUGCUUGUGCUAGGUCCUCACUGAUUGCUGUUUUGUGAUAAGGCAUUAAGGCCCUCAUAACUCUAUCUCGCGCUUGUGCAGGUUCUCUGACAGCUGGCGUGGUGGGUUCUGUAGUUGGCCUAAUUUUGUUGGCUUGUGCAUGUUUGAUUUGGUAUCGACGGAAUGGCACAGCAGGUUCGUGUGACCCUCCUCGCUGAACUAUUGUUAAUAUUUUUUACUCCCUUUGAUCUAUAUUAAUUGUCGUUGAUUUUACUAAAUUAGGGACAAUUAAUACGAAUAGGAGGGAAUAGAGUAUGUUGUCUCUCAUCCAUUUCCAACAAGAAGGACUUAUGUUGCUCUUUUUGUUUUUAUAGGGAAUGAACGAAAGUUUUUUCGUUUGCAUAAGACACAGACGGACACGCAAACGCUAGCACACCCAAAUGCUCACAAAUUCACUUACCAACAAUUGGUGGGUGCAACCCGUGACUUCGCAGACACGCGAAGGCUUGGACAGGGUGCCUUUGGUGUUGUCUAUAAAGGUGCAGUGAUGGUGCAAGACAAAGAGGUGGACGUGGCUAUAAAAACGGCACUUGUUGUGUCAGAUGAAGCUAGGGCUGCCUUUAAGAACGAGGUUGAGAUUAUGAGCCCGCUGAACCAUUCCAACAUUAUACGUCUUGUGGGUUCGUGCGACGAAGAGGACAAUCUCUUGCUUGUUUACGAACUAGUGGAGGAUCGCAACCUUCAGGCUCGGCUUUAUGGCCGUGGUGCUCGUGUGGACGCAGAACUAACCGGUGUAAGGGCUCGGGGUUCAAGCCUUGAUCUAGAUUGGCGGAAAAGGUAGUUAACACACGAAUAUAUGUUACAUAACUCCAACGUAAAUGUUUUUCAAUAUAACCUUUUCUUGUUAUUAUUUUCUAUCAUGGAAAGAAACCAGGAGACUAUAACCUUCAAAUUACUUGUCUGACAGAGAACUCAAUGUUUGUGUUUCAGGUAUAACAUACUGCUUGGAAUAACCUGGGGUCUUGAAUACCUCCAUGCUAAAUGCGCUAAAUGUGUCCUGCAUAGGGACAUCAAGCCAGGCAAUGUGAUGCUGGAUAGGGACUCCAAUGCUAAACUGUGUGACUUCGGGCUGGUGACGCAACUCACCCACGCAAUAACCUCACGCUCGACGAACAACAUCAUUGGAACACAAGUCUACAUGGACCCAGCAUACCGGAACACCGGGAAGAUAACUAAGGAAUCUGAUGUGUACAGCUUCGGUGUGCUGUUGCUUGAGGUUGUAUGUGGCGAGGAGCCAGUCCUAAUUGACGGCGCUGGGAAAAACAGCCUCAUCGAGAAGGUCCGAGAAUGUGAGAAGAGAAAUGCAAUUCUCGAUGCAGCUGACCAACAACUAAGGGGCGAGUUUGAUGAGGAAAUCAAAGCAGCACUAUCGAUUGGGCUCUGUUGUGUCGAAACAAGACGUGGUGACCGUCCAACAAUCCAAAUUGUGUUGGGCCGGUUAUUAAGCCUGACCGGCAAAUUAGCUUCCAAUAACCGCCAUCCAAACGCAGUCUGUGAUGAGGUGUGAGUCUUGACAGAGGUAGGAGAAGAUGUUCCUAGGGCAGCACAAUAACAGUCAAGCCCUGCGUAGUAUCUGGAACGACGAACUUCAUCAUUGAAGCUAUAUUCGCUGUUCGCUCGCCAUAUGCUAUAUCCAUCCGUGUAACGAUGUGUCCGUGUGUGUUUGUGUACUUGAUAGCAAUUAUGUAACUGUCGGUCAUCUCAUGAUUCAAUAAAUCUUUUUGUCAUUUUCAUUGACAUCCUAAUUUAACCAAGCUUGGUAGCCUUUUUUCAUCUCAUCAAUUUAUCUGUCUAAAAUCUUUUUAUCGAGAUCAAGAGUCAAUCAAUGUAUAAAUAGCUCGCAUGCUGUGUGAGCAGGAACUUGAAUGGUACCAACAUUUUACCUCUAAAUUUAUCCUGAAAGGUAACUAAAAUACUAGAUAUUUCCAUGGUGUCAUCAAUGAUAGACACUGAAAGAAACUUACUCAUCCCCUACAAUAGGAGGAGGAUACGAUUAAGGAGCAUGAGCAACUUAAUUUUUUUUAUCACCAAUUAUUAUAAAAAUCUGAUUGGCACCCAGAGGAACGAUACUUCUCGAUGGAUGAGUCCUGAAUAGAUGACAUUCCCUAGGUCUCUGAUGAGGAAAAUAGCCUUCUAACAACUCCAUAUUCCAAGGAGGAAGUUAGAAAUCUGGUUUUCCUAAUGGAGCACAACAAACCCCUGGAUUAGGAUGGUUUGCUGAGUUCUACCAAAACUUCUGGGAAGUCAUCAAACCGGAUCUCCUGCUUUUGUUUGGCUAUCUACAUGUUGGCCAGUCGGAAUUGUUUCGCUGAAAAUUCGGUGAGAUUACUUUAUUACCUAAGGUUAAUGAGGCUGAAAAGAUGCAACAAUAUAGACCAAGCAGCCUCCUUAAGGUUAGUUUUAAAAUCUUCACGAAAGUGAUGAUGAUUCAGCUAAAUUUGAUUGCUGACCAUGUGGUUCAUCCUUCAGAGACUGCUUAUUUGCAAGACAAAAACAUCCUAGAUGGAGUUGUUAUCCUUCAUGAAACAGUCCACAAAUUACAUCCAAAAAAACUGAAUGGGGUGGUACUUAAAAUCAGCUUUAGAAAAUCUUGUGACAAAUUCAAGCGGUCUUUUCUUGACAAACUCUCAGAAUGAAAGAAUUUUCUGCAGAAUGAUGCGCUAUGAUCCAUAGUUUCCGAUCUGGAGGUAGUGUGGCCAUUAAAGUCAAUGACUACGUUGGCCAAUAUUUCGAAAGGAAGAAUGGAUUGCGACAAGGUGACCCAAUAUCGCUCAUGCUAUUCUUCAUAGUGACUGGUAUGUUAGCGGUCAUGAUGGAGCGUGCCAAGGAUGAUGGCUGAUACGUCCAUUUUGCAUCAUGUUUUCCUAUUGAUACUUAUUGCAUUAUGGAUUGUUAUUUCACGUUAUGAUAUAAUUACUAUGCAUUUUCUCUCUUAUUUUGAAAGUAUGUCUAGCGGGGGGGAUGAUUAGACUACUUGACCAAAUAAAAAUAUAUCAUUUUCUCAAUUUUAGUUGUGGGCAGACAUUAGCAAUUAUGACGAGUCAAGCAAUCAACCUACACAUGCAAUUCAAAGAGUAUUCUCUAUGAUGUGAACCUGAUGUGUAUAUUAUUCAAAACCUGAUGUGUAUUGAAAACUUCAUGUUUACUUUUUGGAUCGUUAAUCCUUUAAUCAUAUUGCUUUAGGGAAAUGGCGCCACCACCACCACCACCAUGUCGACGGUGCAAGUCAAGGUGAGCCGGCAGCCUUGCAACUGGCACGCUGUUCGGCAUCUACUUCAAGUCUAGUUUUCUUCAUGCGGCGGUAAUAAAUUAUAUGAAACUAGUAACCACUAUUUUGUUUUUAGUGUUAUUGGCAUUAAUGCAUCGUGUAUAUAUCAUUUUGCUUUUUGUACACAGAUCGUCCCAUGUGGGGUCGGAAUGCAACAAGCUGACCGGAGACUCUGUGACCUUUGAGGCUCCUGGGGGCCCCUACACUAUGGAGGUCGAGAAAGGACGAAAUAUGACGCGGGUGGGAGGAGAUGGAUGGGUCCGUUUCAUCACCCACAUGCGUAUCACCGGUGGUGAGUUGAUCAGCUUCUCCUUCAGAGCAGAAAGACCCAAGCUGACCGUCAUUUAUGUCAACAAAGCAGAAGAUGAUGAAGAUGAUGAGGAUGAUGAGGAUGAUGACGAUGAUGAUGACCCACUUGAUAAAUCCAUCAUAGCUCAAAGAAUGAGGUUGAGCGAGGAGGAGGUGUGCAACCUAUGGGACAUCAUUCCGCCACGUGCUGACUCCGUCGGGGUGCCAUUCGUGACCCGCCUGACAAGUACCAUGGUUGAUCGGCAUAUCAUGGUAUGUUGCAUUUACUGUAGUAAUUUGAUGAUAUGCUUUAUUGUCAUACUUAGUGUAGAGUCCGAUGAUAUAUAUGCUUAGUGAAUCUUAUAUGCUUAGUGAAUCUUAUAUGCUUUAUUGUUAUACUUAGUGUAGAGUCCGAUGAUAUAUAUGCUUAGUGAAUCUUAUAUGCUUAGUGAAUCCAAUGGUCUAUAUGCUUAGUGAAUCCGAUGAUAUAUAUGCUUCAUGUAGAAUCCAAAGAACUGUUAAUAGUGUAGAAUCCAUAUAUACUUAUUAGUAGAAUUCAUGCUUAGUAGAAAUGUAGUACUGUCUUUUGUUAGUGUAGAAUGUGUGAGGCUACUUAUUAAUUGAUAUGUUUUUCUUAUUCAGAAAUUGCCAAAGAGCCUAUCUGAGAGUUGUGGUAUCAAGCCUGAUGAAGAAGGCUCUGCUGGAAUAUGCCUUACCGCGAGGGGCUCCGUCACCACCUGUGCGUACAGCGUGGACACGGACGGUCGCACACACUUCACACUAGUGCAGAACCGGGCUUUAGCGCCGGUUCGUAACAGCCUUUAGUGCCGGUUCGGCAACCGGCACUAAAGAGUGGGGACUAAAGGUCCCCCCCUUUAGUACCGGUUCGUCACGAACCGGCGCUAAAGUGCCACCACGUGGCACAAGCCAGGCCCGGGUGCGUGUAGGGCUUUAGUACCGGUUGGUGACACCAAUCGGUACUAAAUGUUUGGGUGUGUUUUGUUUUUUUUUCCUUUAAUUUUGUGUUUUCAAUUUAAUUUAGUGAUUGUUUUACAUUAUAAUGAGUUGUUAAAUCAUUAGGUGAAAGCACCGCGAUAAGUUUCGACUGGAUGUGCAUGCAUAUGUGGAUCCUAGCUAUAGCUAAGUGAUCAAGUAUAUGCCAUAUCCAUAUUAUAUACUUGAUCACCUAAUUAGGUGAUCAAGGUGAUCAAGUAUAAUAUGAUAUGGCAUAUACUUGAUCACUUAGCUAGGAUCCAUCCAGCUGAAACUAAUCUGCCGUUUCUUUCAUUAAAUGAUAUAAUAACUCAUCAUCAUCAUCAUCAUCAUAUUAAUAUAAAAACUCUUGCAUCAUAUCAUCAACAUCAGUAUACUAGCUAGCUAAAAAUCAUCAUAGUCAUCAUUAUCACUAUUUAAUCAUCAUAGUCAUUACCGCUAUCUAAUCACCACCAACACUAGCUUAAAGAAGAAACAUUCACUUGUACCAGAAGCAAAAAUAUCAUCGAGUUCAACAUGAUGGUCAUGAUAUUAUAAGCGUUCAUAAUACCACAAAAGCACAUCACUCUUUGAGAUUAAGUUCAGGACGAAGAACACGGACAUGAGAGGACAAGUACUAAGAGCAUGAACUAGCUAAAUCACUCCUGCUCUCUCUCUCUCUCUCUCAGGUAAAAUAGCAUAGAACAUAUAUAGCUCUCCUGAUUCAUCAUACUGGAGCAUGCAAAUGAACAUGUCUCCUAAUCGUGGGCUGUGCUUCUCAUUGCUGCCCCCUAGUAUUUCUCUGCGACCAUUAACAAUUUUCCUCCAAUCUUUCACUAUUAAGCAUUCAUCGCUUCUAGAAAUCCUGAAUGCACUCAUGUGCAAUGCAGGAUAUCUUGGCCAUAAGCUAACAAUUGACAUGCGACCUUUAGUCUCGAUCCACUGAGGCACAACUUUCAUCGAGAGUCCCUGUUGAAGAACAUCGUAUAGUAAUUAAUAUACUUAGCAAUGAAAGUUUAGCAAAAAAAUAUGUAUGCAAAAGAUGCACUGAGUACAAAUAGUAAAAAUCUUACCAUCAUUCCUAAAUAGAUGUGACCGUAGUUCAAUACGAUCACUAUUGGUCGCAUGUUUUGAGUACUAACAUUUCUAAGUGCAGGAAGAAAAUUUGUCUUGACAGUAUGAAGAUCCUCAAGCCAUGAAACAUAAUGACUUAUCUCCUCGCAGUUUAGUUCAGCUCCGGGACAGUAGUAGGUCAUGUCUACCAAGAGCCGGACAUGUUUGCUUGAAUGGAAAUAAGCUGUCAAUAGAAAUUAGUUGUCAACUAUUUUUGAAUAAACAAUAUCAAAGACAUAAAUAUGGUUGAGAAGAGCUCACAUAAUGGUAGAACUGGAGGCGUCUGCACAUCGACCCAGAUGUCUCUAUUACCUUCAAUAUCAUCUUCCGGACGAAUAUCAAUGGUGAUAACCAUAUCAGGCUCAAAUGCAUAAGCCUUGCAUAGUGCUUGCCAAGUUUUGCAUUCAAAAUAGGUGUACGUGUCUGCAUUUUAUACUUUGAUGUUGAAAGUAUAAACAUGCUCAGUUUUCAGGUAAACUCUCAUUACACUAGUAGAAAAAGGGGCAAAUCUGAGACACAUUAGUGUCGGUUUGAUUUUGAGCCGGCACUAAUGUGUCCAUUAGUGUCGGUUCCAACGGCUAGCCGGCCGUUCUCAUUAGUACCGGUUCAUGGCGAACCUUUAGCACCGGUUCGUGCCACGAACCGGUACUAAAGAGAGUGGUGGCAGGGUGUUGUCAGUCUGGGGGCCCUCCAGCACCUUUAGUACCGGUUCGUGGAACGAACCGGUACUAAAGGUCGACAUACAUAAACCCUUCGUCCACCCGAGCCACUCUAUUCUUCCCCUUUCCCCUCACUUCCUCUGUUCUUCCCCUCUCUUCCUCAAGCUCCUCACAAAUUUUGCCCAAAAUUUGUCAAGAUUUGAAGGCCCCCAUCCAUUCAAAUGAUCACAAAGGUUAGCAACUUUUUCCUUUCAACUCUCAUUGCUAGAUUAGCUCUUGCAAUGCUUUGUAUAGUGAUUAAUUUGGGAGGAAUUAUAUUUGCUAGUAUUUGAUUUAUAUGCAAUUUGAGGUCAAAAAUAACACUUAGUUUGCAUAUGUAGGUGUGGUUUACUUAGUGCCUUCUAAAUCUCCGUCGUAACCACCGUCGAUCGCCCGCACCGUCCCGUCGCCGGUACCACCUUGUGGUGAGGCUCUUGUUCAUGAAUGUUUUACAUUACCAAAUUGAUGGUUGUGUGAUUUGGAUAUAUAGUUACUCGUAUAAUUAUCUUACCCGUACGUUGUUUGUUAUACAUAGUGCCAUGGUUUUGAUAUCCGUCCCCGUCGGCCCUCGUCCUUGUUAUGAUUUGGAUGUGGUAUAUUCUCUUUUAAAACUAGUUGUUACAUUUCGUGUUUAUGACAAAUUAUGCCCAUCAAGUUGACAUAGAUAUUUUUAUCUAGGAGGUAUGUGAACCAGAAAUUCCAACCGACCCUAUUGUCGAGAGGUUAAAUUUAGUUGAAAGAGAAAAUGAGUAUUUGAAAGAAAAAUUGAAAAGAAUUGAGGGGGAGAAGAUGCAAUUGGAGUUGCAUGUUGCCGAUGUCGUCGAUGAUCACAAGAUCAAGAUGGAGAAAAUGAGGUUGAAGAUUAGAAAGAUUAGAAAAUAUGCCAUUGAUAGUGUGGCUUGGUAUCAUUAUGUUGUUGGAUCAAUUGUUACCUUAGUUGCGAUCUUGAUCGCAUUUGUUGUUGCAUUUAAAUUCUUUAGCUAGAGAGUUAUUUGUAUGUUGCAUUUAAUUAAGUGUUGUAUAUGAACUUUAUGUAUGAACUUUAUGUAUGAACUUGUAUUAAUUUGGUCUAUUCGGUGUUGUGUAAUGAAGAUGAGCCGACAAUGGAUGUAUAAUGACCGAUGCUCUCCCGAGUUCAUUAAUGGCGUGCAUACUUUUAUGCUUGCCGCUGAGGCAAACAAGCGGGCGGAUGGUUUUAUGCCUUGUCCAUGUGCUGGCUGUAAGAAUGGUUACAGUUACUCUACGUCAAGAACCAUUCACGUCCACCUAUUUGAGUCUGGUUUCAUGCCCCCACUAUAAUGUUUGGACCAAGCACGGAGAAAUAGGGGUUAUGAUGGAAGACAAUGAAGAAGAAGACGACGACGAUGGCUAUCCUGGCCAUGGGUUCCCUGAAUACGAUGAUACAACAAUGGGGGAAGAAGCUGAGCGGCAAUGCGGGAAGAAGCUGAAGAAGAGGCAUCAGAGCCCGCUGAUGAUCUAGGUCGGGCCAUUGCCGAUGCAAAGAGAAACUACGCAAGUGAUCUGGAGAGGACGAAGUUGUAGCGCAUGUUAGAGGAUCACAAGAAAUUGUUGUAUCCGAAUUGCGAAGAUGACAAAAAAAAGUUGGGCACCACACUUGAAUUGCUGCAAUGGAAGGCAGAGAAUGGUGUAUCUGACAAGGGAUUUGGAAAGUUGCUGGUAAUGAUAAAGAAUAUGCUUCCAACGGAUAACGAAUUGCCCGAGAGUACGUAUGAAGCAAAGAAGGUUGUCUGCCCUCUAGGGUUAGAGGUGCAGAAGAUACAUGCAUGCCCUAAUGACUGCAUCCUCUACCACGGUGAGUACAAGGAUUUGAACUCUUGCCCAGUAUGCGGUGCAUUGCGUUAUAAGAUCAGUCGCGAUGACCCUGGUGAUGUCGAGGGCGAGCGCCCCAGGAAGAAGAUUCCUGCCAAGGUGAUGUGGUAUGCUCCUAUAAUACCAUGGGUGAAACGUUUGUUCCAAAACAAAGAGCAUGCGAAGGCGAUGUGGUGGCACGCAGAAGACCGUAAGAAAGACGGAAAGUUGAGAGUACCCGCUGAUGGUUCGCAGUGGAGAAAAAUCGAGAGAAAGUACUAGGAGGAGUUUGCAGGUGACCCAAGGAACGUAUGGUUUGGUCUAAGCGCAGAUGGAAUUAAUCCUUUUGGGGAGCAGAGCAGCAACCAUAGCACGUGGCCUGUGACUCUAUGUUUGUAUAACCUUCCUCCUUGGUUGUGCAUGAAGCGGAAGUUCAUUAUGAUGCUAGUGCUCAUCCAAGGCCCUAAGUGUCAGGACCCGGACUCAAUGCCACAUCGAUCUAGCAUGUAACACCUCAUAUCACUUUGCGGCCUCAUGCAUGGUAUCCCCACGGGUGUCGCCUUACCUUUGCCCGGGACCGUUUGCGCCUUUUGGCACACGUAUAUGAUAGUGUCGCUAGCAUCCAUAUGAUAAGGAGCCCGGGCUCACAUGGCUAGUCGUAAACCCAAAGUGGCACAAACUUAUAGGGACAGGCAUCCAUGACCCAGCAUCGAACAUGUCGGUCAUCAGCGAGUGAAUCCAGGCUGUAGCACUGGGCUAACAGGACUCCGGUGAACUGGGCUGUAGUGGGCUAACAGGACUCCGGCAUUCAUCGCGUGACAUUUCCCCGAAGGGACAGACACAGGAACGAAGAAGGACACAUGCCGGUCAGCCUAAGUGUUCCGGAGCAGUAGCAAGCUACCAUGGCUCAGUGGAAGCACUAGGAGACAUUUCCCGGUAAGAGAGGCUACUAAGGAUAAACAACUAGAUAGUCAGAUCCCACACAUACCAAGCAUUUCAAUAAUAUCCACACAAUAUGCUCGAUAUGUGCAAAUACAACAUGGCAUCACAACAUGACUCUACAACUCAAGUAUUUUAUUCAAUAGGCUCCGAGGAGCGAGAUAUUACAAACAUGGGUCUCAUGACCCAACAUUCAGAGCAUACAAGUCAAAGCACAAGCGGAAGCUUAACAUGUCUGAGAAUAGACAACUAAAAAUGAAAAAGGCUGAGAAGUCUGACUAUCUACCAGAUCCUGCCAAGGACACAAGAUAGUAGCUGAGGUAACAAGCUAAACGUCGAAGUCCACGUGAAACUACUAGUGAGACGGGAGUCUCUGCAAAAACGUAAAAUAGGCAAACGUGAGUACAAAUGUACCCAGCAAGACUUACAUCAGAACUAACUACAUAUGCAUCAUUUUCAACAAAGGGGAUGGUGGAGUUUGAUUGCAGCAAGCCAGCUUUGACCCGGUGGCUAUCCUGAACUACGACUGCAAGUAACUCUUUUGAGGUGGCGCACACGAGUCCACAUAUUCACCAUAUCAAUACACCACUAUGGAUCCGUUCCCGUCCCCCUACGAGAACGCCAUCCAUAGCACUCACGCUUAUCUUGCGUAUUUUAGAGUAUCCACUUCAAGUUAUCUAUGAACUGUACAGGCAACCCAGAAGUCCUUUUCCGCGGACACGGCUAUUCGAAUAGAUAAUGUUAACCCUGCAGGGAUGUACUUCUUCACACACGCUCUCACCACUUAUCGCCGUUUACACAACAUGUACUCGGCAACCUUCAAGCGGAAGCCCAGCGAGGGUGUCGGCCACGACCUGACUAACCAUACAAGUCUCUCGUCCAGGUUUAUCGCCUAUUCAGGUUCCAUCCGUAAGGAGAUCCAGCCGGGGUGUCGCUCACGGCCCUAAACGAUGUGUGCAGGGUUCCCAAGCCCACCAUCUGGGUGCCACUUGGUACACCAGGCCACUGUGCUUAGUCUGUCCCAAGCCCACCUGUACCGGGUGCCACUUGGUAGACUACUAACACUACCUACAAACACCAGAAACUAGUUGCAACUCCUGGACAGAGAUCAGGUUGAUUAAUAAGUCGAGAGGGGCACUUAAGCAUUCCAAUGCAUGGUAGUAGCUGUUCAUGGAUCACAAACAUAGAACUCAGUUCCUGAGGACGGUUUCAAUGAGACAACCCACCAUGUACUCCUACAUGGCCUCUCAUCGCUACCUUUACCAAAUCGUGUUCACACACUUAGCUCUCAACAGUAGGACAUGUUCACCACAUUCCAAUUCAUCCCCGAUGAAUAAGACCUGACUCAACUCUAAGCAGUAGCAGGCAUGACAAACAAGCAUGAAUGAGUAGGCACAUCAGGGCUCAAACAACUCCUACUCAUGCUAGUGGGUUUCAUCUAUUUACCGUGGCAAUGACAGGUCAUGCAGAGGAAAGGGGUUCAACUACCACAGCAUGUAACAGUUGCAUCGUUGUUGUCCUAAUGCAGUAAAAGAGAGCAGGAGCGAGAGAGUGGUAUUGUAUCGGAAUGAACAAGGGGGUUUUGCUUGCCUGGUACUUCGGAAGGUAAUAUAGCUCUUCAUCAGUGUCAUCGAUCACGUCGUUGGUAACAACGUCUACUCUGGGGGACAAUUACUGGCAACAGAGAGGAAACACAAUCAAUGCAAUGCAACAAUAUGAUGCAUGAUCAUGACAUGGCAAUAUGCUAUGAUUUGAGCUGAUGCAACUAAAACCAGAUUAAAUGAAGUUGGUUUGAAUCAAAGAUUCAAAUUCAAACUCCAUAUGUGAUUUAUUAUAUGCCAUUUAAUUGAAUUGUCCUAAAAAGUAGUCAUAAGUUGUUCUAACAUGCAUGAAAAUGGUACAGAUGGGAAGAUUGGAUUUUUUUGAUCAUUUUUCAUAUAUAAUUUAUCUCAUUUGGAGUUACGGUUGAAUUUAUAUGAAUUUUAGAAGUUUUGGGCAUUUUCUGGAAUUUUCUGAAUUAUUUUAAAUCCAGAAAAUUAUUAACUGCGUCAGCAUGACAUCAGCACUACGUCAGUAGGUCAACGGGGCUAGUCCAGGUCAAACCUGACAUGUGGGGUCCACACGUCAGUGACACAUGAACUAAUCCUGGUCAAACCCAGCGCUGACUGGGGUUUGACCAAGUGUAGGGCCCACUGUCAGUGGCUGUAGGGUGUUUAGCUGGCUGGGUUAGCUCCUAAUGACGGAGCCACGUCGGCUCGCCGGAGUUUGGCCGGCGGUGACCAUUCCGCGCAGCGGAGCUGUUGCUGGGCGGCGCUAGGGGCUGCGUUUAGGUGUGGGGAGACCACCAGGAGGGAGCCCAUGCUCUUCCGCAUCCAACGGAGCAGAAAGGAGCGGGCGGGGUGCGUUGUACUCGCCGGAGUCGAGCUCGCGGCGGCGGCCGGAGCUCGGGCGAGCUCGGGGUCGGCGUUAGGGAGCACAGCAGAGGGUGCAGAGGGGUGCUAUGGCCUCCUGGGGGUGCACAGAGCGCGGCUGCGUGCUCGAUUGCAGCUCUAGGCAACGGUGGCUACGGCGGCUACAUGGUCAGCGGCGGCCGGAGAUCAGGCGCGGUGAGAACGGCGGCUACGGCGGCCAAAUGUGCAAGAGAGCUAGGGAGAGGCAGAGGAGCUCACCGCAAAGCCGGAUGGGGUCUCAGCGAGCUCGGGGACGCGUCGGAGACGACGAAAGGGUGCCGGCGAUCUCGGCGACCGAGAGGUUGAACACGACGGCAUUGAUGGCGAAGUAGGGCUCCCGGCGAUGUGUGGCUUGACGAGGAGGACGAAGGCGACGAGGCGGAUCCCUGGGGCGUGUCGAAGAGGCGGGAGGGAGGCGGUGGCUGCGGCUAUGGCGAACAACGGCGACGGUCUCCGUUCGGUUGCGGGAGGGAGAGAGAGCUGAGGAGGAUAGGGACGGAGGGAGAAGUGGACGUGGCGCCAGGGAGGUGCGUGGCAUCUCCAGCGGGGUCGGGAAAGCGAGCAGAGAGGCAGGAGGUGGCGGCGUGUGCGCGCGUGCGGCGGCCACACGCUCUGCUGUAACACCCCAAAAAUUUAACUAGGUUUUAGUUAUUUAAAUUUUGCCAAGAGUUUAAAAUUUUUGCCUGCAAGAAUAUAUCUGUUGAUUUCAAAACUUUUCUUUUAAUAUUAAGGAAUUUUUCCCAAGUGGAUCCUUCCAAAUCAUAUUGGACUUAUUUUCUCCCUCAUUUAAAAACAUCUCUCAAUCAGGAGAUUUAUUUAUUAAAUUAUUUCACUCUGAGCUUUAUUCCUUAAAAUGACUUUCUUUAAGUUUUGGAGCUCUUUUUGAACUACAACCAUUUGAUAGAUUUAUCUAAAAAAUCCAACCAAAAUUUGGAGGUGUCUUGUGAUGUUUUUAAAUCACUCUUAUCCAAAAAUAUCUUUUAUUCUUGAAAUAUUUUGAGUGCUACACAUGUUUUUCUUCUCUGGUUCAGAGAGCAAUUUUACACUACAACCUAUUUAAAUAUUUGUUUAAAACUUCUACCAAAAUUAGGGGAGGUCAGUAGGAGCAUAUUAUUCCACUUUGUGCAAAAAAACCAUUUAUGUUCUUUGAAAAAUUUGAGUGAAACAACCUCUUUUCCAUUCUGGUCCAAUUGAUGAUUUGUACAGCAACCACCAUUUUAGUCGAUCCUAUAUCCAUGAUUCCUUUUUCUACUGGUAGUCCCCCUUGCCAAACCCUUAAGUCCAGGAGAGUGGACCCAUUGGAUGAUUCUAAGUACUUGCAACAAUGCCAUUUGCUUUCUGUCCAGAAUUGAAGUUUUGCAAAACUUGCACUAGCAAGUUUCUCCUUUCUGCAAACUAACUUCACCACCCUCUCUUUCAUCCACAGAGACACUAGUAUGGAAGAUUUGGCCCCUCCAAGAAUAGCCUAGGUGCCUUUGGCAUUUUGACAAACACCUAGAUUGCAUGGACUGAAUUGGCAUGAUCUCAAGUCUACACUAUGAACUUGCACCUCUGAUCAAACAAGCAUGUCCACUAGACUCCCCGUUACUCCUGACCUAGAUCUGCUAAAUGCCAGCCUCACCCAAGCUCUGUAGCAUGCUCUGGCAUUACGUCGAGCACGUCCCGUGCAUGCCCAGAGCGCGAGCAGAGCGUGCAUUUGGCACGCACGUGCGCCCGAGCCGCCGCAUCGCGCCCGCUUCGCGCCACCUACCCCCGCUCGCCCGCAGAGCCGCGCCCGACCUCAUCCACUCGCAAGAAUCGUCCAAAGCCGCACAGCGCCACCGUCAGGGCACUUUUGGCGGCACGCCAGCGUCGGCCGACAGCCUCUGCUCCGUUCGGUGCCGCCCAAGCCACCUCGGCCCGCCACCUGGCCCUAGCACAGCCCGAGCUCAUCCACAAGGGCGUCGCCUAGCCCUCGUCGUCGCCACGACGCCCUGCGGCUACAGAAAGACGGUCGCCGACGAGCUUAUCCAUGGCCGCCGCGGAACCGCCUUGCCUCGCCUAUAUAAGGGACCCCGAGCCCCUCUGAGCACGCAAACAAACUCAGUACACUCCUCCAGUUCCCCCAUGGCAGCCAAUCGACCCGAGGGGGCCGUCUUCCUCAUCUCCGGCAACCCCAGCCGCCGCCGCUGUCUCGACCAUUCCGGCGCCACCAAAGCUUCCCCCUCCCCGUUCUCUUCGCCAAGAACUCCCCCUUCCUCUCUCGAGUGCAACCCCUCAAUCAAUUUUGGCAGGAGACCACCGCCGCCCCAAAACCACUUCGCCAUCGAAGCCUUCCUCCGCCGCAGAGUUCGCCGCCGGCAGCUCACUCCAUCCCCAUCACUUCCUCGACCAUCGGAAGAACCGCCCCAGUCGUGUGGAUCCAUCCCCACCCUCGGGGGCCCGUGAGGAGCAGCCGAACGCCGGCGACGAUCGCUGGAGUCCCGCCUCCGCUCGGGAUAGAGGGAGAAGGAGGGAGAGGCGACUGGUCAAACCUGACCAGUGGGCCCCCUGGACCCACUGUCAGUGACCCACCCCGCCGCCACGCGUGUUAAGUGAAAGCGUAAAACCCCAAGUACGUAACCCUACUUAGAAAGCGUAUUUCUGCCGAAACGUUUUCUUUUCUGUUUUAUUAUUAAAAACAGAUUUUGACCAAAUCUUUGACUGGUUAUAUCUUUUUAAAUAUAACUCCAAAUUGACUGAUUCUUUUUCCUACCCCUCUCAAAUUUCACCUAGUUUAUUUUAAGAUUUAUUGGAAAAAAAUUCAGAACAACUUUUGGUGCUGUUUUUAUUUUGUGUGUUAAUUCUUUUAUAUUGCCAAAAUAGGAUUUUUGAAGAGAGGAGAAAUGUUUCAAGUUUUGGAGUGCACCCUGCCUUUCCACACAUUGAAGGCAAGCAUUCUGAACCCCGGCAUAAUAUUUUUGGUGUGUUCGUUGACACGUUUAUAACACCACCUCAUUUCGAAGGACUUGUUAUUUCAUGUGAUAUGAUCAUUUGCAUGGAUGCAUAUUGGUGAUUUCCAUGCUGUUGGAAAUGAGUAUACUUGUGAUGGUAAUCAUCCUCAUGUAUCUUGCAUGCAUGCCGGAGAGGAAUCCGGGAAAGCCUCUGCCUUGGGUAGGCGUGAGCUUGUCGCCGGUCUCCGUCGGGACGGGUAUGUCCGGUAUGGCAUGGUAAGAUAUAAUGAGUGUUGGUUGUAUUGGUUGAAAUAUAUUUGUUAUACAUGUCAUGCAGGAAACUAUAAACCUCCUGAGUCGACCAUAGAUCGAGUCUUGUGCCAGUAACCCCCAUACUUGUUUCGUACUACCACUCGUCUCUACAGCAAGUAGAGUACGGUUCAGUAAGUUGUCAACCUCUUUCUAGCACAUACCGUACAGAGAGGCCAUGGUGGAAGAUACCGGUUGUAGCUGGUAGGCAGGCCACCUGGUCCGGGGGCAUGGGUGUUUCCGGUUGGGACCGAGAGGGGAGGCCACCCCUUAGAGCGCGCGAUAUAAAUUUGAUCCCAUGCUACGCGAGGUUGUAGCCUCCCCACUUAGAGUUUGCUUAACAGGUGUCGUGGGUGAUUCCAGACACAUGUGAGUUAAGCUGGUGUGUGCAAGUUAGGUGUGUUUUCAACUAAAAGACCGUGGACGGAAUUAGUCCCGAUGGACUAAAGAAAUCCGUUACUCGUGGGUAAAGAGUACACCCUCUGCAGAGAUUAAAACCUAUUCGAAUAGCCGUGUCCAUGGUUAAGGACUACAGUCUGGGACGGGUCAAGUGUCGGUCUUAGUGUCGGUCUUCGGAGGUGAUAACUGUUAACCAGAACGGGAAUUACUACUGGUGACUUGUGGUAAUUAUGAUUAUCAUUAUUGUUUGACUAACCCGUGAUAUUAUUGUUAUUAUUGAGUAUCUCUGGGAUGGUUCUACCUCCGGGAUAUUCACUAUGAUUGUUCAUUUUAAAAGCCCUUUAUGCGGUGUCGCUCAGACGCCCGACUGUGGCAUUUCUUUUAAAGCCCUUUAUGUGGUGUCGCUCAGACGCCCGACUGUGGCAUUUCUUUAAAAGCCCUUUAUGUGGUGCCGCUCAGACGCCCNNNNNNNNNNNNNNNNNNNNNNNNNNNNNNNNNNNNNNNNNNNNNNNNNNNNNNNNNNNNNNNNNNNNNNNNNNNNNNNNNNNNNNNNNNNNNNNNNNNNNNNNNNNNNNNNNNNNNNNNNNNNNNNNNNNNNNNNNNNNNNNNNNNNNNNNNNNNNNNNNNNNNNNNNNNNNNNNNNNNNNNNNNNNNNNNNNNNNNNNNNNNNNNNNNNNNNNNNNNNNNNNNNNNNNNNNNNNNNNNNNNNNNNNNNNNNNNNNNNNNNNNNNNNNNNNNNNNNNNNNNNNNNNNNNNNNNNNNNNNNNNNNNNNNNNNNNNNNNNNNNNNNNNNNNNNNNNNNNNNNNNNNNNNNNNNNNNNNNNNNNNNNNNNUUUAAAGCCCUUUAUGUGGUGUCGCUCAGACGCCCGAUUGUGGCAUUUCUUUUAAAGCCCUUUAUGUGGUGUCGCUCAGACGCCCGACUGUGGCAUUUCUUUAAAAGCCCUUUAUGUGGUGUCGCUCAGACGCCCGACUGUGGCAUGCUUGUUAUUUAUUUCAUAAUUUUUAAUACUUCUAUGGCAUUGCAUGUUCAUACAUCAGAGUUAUAUUUAUCUUUGUGACUGACGUCAUGAGCAUAAAAUAUUGUCAGCACAUCAUUGUUAUAUUAUACCUGUGUUCAAAAUGUUUGCGAGUACAUUCAAAGUACUCACUGGUUUGUCCCUGGCUAUUGUCUUGGCCAGAUUUUCUUGCACGGAAAGGAGCGACGUGAUGACAGCCCCGGAACCUAUGCAAUGGAGAUAGCAGCCUCGCGAAGAUAGGAGUUAACCUGGUCAGCUGUUCCUGUGGGAAUUGGAGUCCCAUAGACACUGAUGAUCCACAAACCGCUUCCGCCAUCAACCACUAGAAACCUUUUGUUGUACUCACAGGCCAGAAUGGUCUUGUACCACAUAUUUUGUAUUUUGCUUGGGAUUUCUGUAUCAAGUUGGAGCCUCAUCAGCUAAUAGUAAUCCUGGGGCUGAUGAGCACGACGGUCUUUUUCGGGAAAUUUAUUACCUGGAAAACCGGUCGUGACAGACUUGGUAUCAGAGCCAGGCUGACCAUUGGCUAACCCUAUCUUAGCCAGGUCAAUAAACUUAGGCAAACCAACCCACCAGACCAUAACCAAAACCCAGCCAAGCUUCUCGUGCAAGAUAGCCACACAGUGACCCCGACAUUUUUGGCAGUCGGAGCCCAACCUACCAACCUAGCUUGUCGAUCACGCGCCAGUAACCAGCACCCAAGAUGUCUCCCCCACAAGCGUGCGAAGGAAGACUCCGUCCCCUUUUUCUAUAAAAAGGGCACGCUAACCCCAACCCAGCACGGCACAGCGUCUUCCCCAACCUAGCCACAAUGCCUGGCCCCAUAGUGCACAAUGAAACCACAGCAACCAACCUUGGAGGUUUUGUGACCAUCCUCGCAAACCUCACCCGUCGUGCCUAUGCAUUAGAAGAGCCACCAGAAUAUGUUGUGUACCAAGGACCCAUGAGCGGUGAAGACCGUCAAUUCUGGGCCACUGUACACAUCUACGGUAGGGGUCUAGCGCCCGAACGCCCCUACAGGUUCACCGGAAGAACAACUUCCUUUGAGCCACAAUCCAUACAACUAGCUGCUCGAGAGGCUAUAGUUCAUCUCAGGCACUUGUCGCCCAGAGUUAACUGUCGCUCGUUCCACUACUACCCCAGACGCGAAGGGUAUGGUAGACCACCCCAAGUUGCCAACGGAGAUCACGAGACGGAUCCCGCACUGUUGCACCUAGUGCGUUAUGUAAGUGCACUAGAGGCACUGUUCGACCGGAUCACCAUUGAUCUGAUCGCAGCUCGAGGAGAGCUGGUUCGUCGAGCCCCAGCAAGAAGAGAAGACGAGCCCGACGCCGACAACCCAGUCGUGCUGUUCGGACACCCGAUCGAAACCCGGAGUUCAGCUCCAGCCAUCAACCGAGAUACAUUGAUGACCCCAGAAGUGCUUCGUCACCUUUUGGGAGCACACACCAACGGGGUUGUGGCCAACAAUCCCCGCGAUGGUCAUCAUCGCUACCCCGACCCUGUCGUUCCUCCGCCAUCUCCGACUAAUCACGGCAGUGAGACACGUGGAGGAGACUCGACAUCCACCAGGCAUGCCCGUUUAGACAUAAACGAGGUAGACUAAGCCGUACGAGUAGUACCGAGUCUCAGUGUAUCCUUACUUUGUAAUCGUGCGACCAAGUAUAUUAACGCAGCCUGUCGUUGUGCCUCUGUUUAAAUAGUAGCCUUGCAUAUUUUGUCAGCGCGCCGUUGCAUAAUUUCCGGGCACAGCUACCAAAACCAACCUUGACGACAACUACAGUAACACGUCUCUUUAUGAGAUAUGUGUAUCUCCGGCACGGACCCCGACUCUUGAGGUAAUCUGGCAGAUUUAUUACCUUUCACCACGGUAAAUAAACCAGCCCAGAUGCUAUAUAAGAAGGCCACCUCGUGACCUUACCCAGCAACCCUCACCUCGUGCACCACUCUCACAACCAUUUCUUGUCAUGUCAAGCCCCAGUAUUCAUCUGAGAACCCCAGAUGCAACCCCAGGUAGCUUUGUCAAAAUAUUGCGGGACUUUACCCGCAGUACCAUGGGUUCUAACCAGCCACCCCAGUACGAGCUGUUCAAAUCGAGGAUCACCCCUUCCACCUCAGAAUAUUGGGCAGCAGUACACAUUCCUCCCAUAGACCCCAACCAAGAUCCAACAGAAGUUUCCUUCAUGGGGAAAUCUAUGCCAACCCCGCACCUGGCCAUAGAAGCUGCUGCGAAGGAAGCGAUUGCUCGCCUUCGAUCCGCAGUACCCUAUGCCCGCGAACGAGGAUAUUAUUACUUUCCGAGCCGUGCAGCACCCGGAGAAGUUACAUCUUUUCCCGGUGGACGGAUUGAGAAGGACCCAGUACUAGCCAACCUUAUCCAGUACAUCAUCGCUCAAGAGCAUUUGAACCAGCGAGUAAUGGAUUAUCUCCAGAGUCUCGCUGAUUUAAAUCCCCAGAUUGCAAUCGGCAGAUCACUGAGACCCGACCCGGAGAGACGCAUACAUCGACUGGUCAAUCCACUGCCUCCGAUAGAAGAGGAGUGUAUCCCUUUACCAGAGACAUUUUAUCAGGACCACACCCAGUUACCGUUUUCAUUUUAGACGUCACUACUGUAUUUGUGUUUGCAGCAUUUAUAUUUGCAUUGUAACUUAUGCGUGGUACCUCAAAUUUGUGCGAUGAGUCUAGUGUUUAGUUUCUACUGGUAUGAGUAAUUUCUGUCGCGAAUAACUGGUGUAACCGCGAAAAUCCUAGUAUGAGAUUUCUUUUCCCCUGAGUCGCUGCAUCGUUUGUCCUCUCACGGCAUGGAUUAUUUUUUUUUACGCAGCACCACGGCAGCAGGCUCACAACCGCUCCGUACACAUAUGGAGUAUUUAUUUUUCACAACGGCCCUUAGCAAAUCUCGAGGACGAGAUUUUUUUUAAGGGGGGUAGUAUUGUAACACCCCAAAAAUUUAACCAGGUUUUAGUUAUUAAAAUUUUGCCAAGAGUUUAAAAUUUUUGCCUGCAAGAAUAUAUCUGUUGAUUUCAAAACUUUUCUUUUAAUAUUAAGGAAUUUUUCCCAAGUGGAUCCUUCCAAAUCAUAUUGGACUUAUUUUCUCCCUCAUUUAAAAACAUCUCUCAAUCAGGAGAUUUAUUUAUUAAACUAUUUCACUCUGAGCUUUAUUCCUUAAAAUGACUUUCUUUAAGUUUUGGAGCUCUUUUUGAACUACAACCAUUUGAUAGAUUUAUCUAAAAAAUCCAACCAAAAUUUGGAGGUGUCUUGUGAUGUUUUUAAAUCACUCUUAUCCAAAAAUAUCUUUUAUUCUUGAAAUAUUUUGAGUGCUACACAUGUUUUUCUUCUCUGGUUCAGAGAGCAAUUUUACACUACAACCUAUUUAAAUAUUUCUUUAAAACUUCUACCAAAAUUAGGGGAGGUCAGUAGGAGCAUAUUAUUCCACUCUGUGCAAAAACCCAUUUAUGUUCUUUGAAAAAUUUGAGUGAAACAACCUCUUUUCCAUUCUGGUCCAAUUGAGGAUUUGUACAGCAACCACCAUUUUAGUUGAUCCUAUAUCCAUGACUCCUUUUUCUACUGGUAGUCCCGCUUGCCAAACCCUUAAGUCCAGGAGAGUUGACCCAUUGGAUGAUUCUAAGUACUUGCAACAAUGCCAUUUGCUUUCUGUCCAGAAUUGAAGUUUUGCAAAACUUGCACUAGCAAGUUUCUCCUUUCUGCAAACUAACUUCACCACCCUCUCUUUCAUCCACAGAGACACUAGUAUGGAAGAUUUGGCCCCUCCAAGAAUAGCCUAGGUGCCUUUGGCAUUUUGACAAACACCUAGAGUGCAUGGACUGAAUUGGCAUGAUCUCAAGUCUACACUAUGAACUUGCACCUCUGAUCAAACAAGCAAGUCCACUAGACUCCCCGUUACUCCUAACCUAGAUCUGCUAAAUGCCAGCCUCACCCAAGCUCUGUAGCAUGCUCUGGCAUUACGUCGAGCACGUCCCGUGCACGCCCAGAGCGCGAGCAGAGCGUGCGUUUGGCACGCACGUGCGCCCGAGCCGCCGCGUCGCGCCACCUACCCCCGCUCGCCCGCAGAGCCGCGCCCGACCUCAUCCACUCGCAAGAAUCGUCCAAAGCCGCACAGCGCCACCGUCAGGGCACUUUUGGCGGCACGCCGGCGUCGGCCGACAGCCUCUGCUCCGUUCGGCGCCGCCCAAGCCACCUCGGCCCGCCACCUGGCCCUAGCACAGCCCGAGCUCAUCCACAAGGGCGUCGCCUAGCCCUCGUCGUCGCCACGACGCCCUGCGGCUACAGAAAGACGGUCGCCGACGAGCUUAUCCACGGCCGCCGCGGAACCGCCUUGCCUCGCCUAUAUAAGGGACCCCGAGCCCCUCUGAGCACGCAAGCAAACUCAGUACACUCCUCCAGUUCCCCCAUGGCAGCCAAUCGACCCGAGGGGGGCGUCUUCCUCAUCUCCGGCAACCCCAGCCGCCGCCGCUGUCUCGACCAUUCUGGCGCCACCAAAGCUUCCCCCUCCCCGUUCUCUUCGCCAAGAACUCCCCCUUCCUCUCUCGAGUGCAACCCCUCAAUCAAUUUUGGCAGGAGACCACCGCCGCCCCAAAACCACUUCGCCACCGAAGCCUUCCUCCACCACAGAGUUCGCUGCCGGCAGCUCACUCCGUCCCCAUCACUUCCUCGACCAUCGGAAGAACCGCCCAGUCGUGCGGAUCCAUCCCCACCCUCGGGGGCCCGCGAGGAGCAGCCGAACGCCGGCGACGAUCGCCGGAGUCCCGCCUCCGCUCGGGACAGAGGGAGAAGGAGGGAGAGGCGACUGGUCAAACCUGACCAGUGGGCCCCCUGGACCCACUGUCAGUGACCCACCCCGCCGCCACGCGUGUUAAGUGAAAGCGUAAAACCCCAAGUACGUAACCCUACUUAGAAAGCAUAUUUCUGCCGAAACGUUUUCUUUUCUGUUUUAUUAUUAAAAACAGAUUUUGACCAAAUCUUUGACUGGUUAUAUCUUUUUAAAUAUAAAUCCAAAUUGACUGAUUCUUUUUCCUACCCCUCUCAAAUUUCACCUAGUUUAUUUUAAGAUUUAUUGGAAAAAAAUUCAGAACAACUUUUGGUGUUGUUUUUAUUUUGUGUGUUAAUUCUUUUAUAUUGCCAAAAUAGGAUUUUUGAAGAGAGGAGAAAUGUUUCAAGUUUUGGAGUGCACCCUGCCUUUCCACACAUUGAAGGCAAGCAUUCUGAACCCCGGCAUAAUAUUUUUGGUGUGUUCGUUGACAUGUUUAUAACACCACCUCAUUUCGAAGGACUUGUUAUUUCAUGUGAUAUGAUCAUUUGCAUGGAUGCAUAUUGGUGAUUUCCAUGCUGUUGGAAAUGAGUAUACUUGUGAUGGUAAUCAUCCUCAUGUAUCUUGCAUGCAUGCCGGAGAGGAAUCCGGGAAAGCCUCUGCCUUGGGUAGGCGUGAGCUUGUCGCCGGUCUCCGUCGGGACGGGUAUGUCCGGUAUGGCAUGGUAAGAUAUAAUGAGUGUUGGUUGUAUUGGUUGAAAUAUAUUUGUUAUACAUGUCAUGCAGGAAACUAUAAACCUCCUGAGUCGACCAUAGAUCGAGUCUUGUGCCAGUAACCCCCAUACUUGUUUCGUACUACCACUCGUCUCUACAGCAAGUAGAGUACGGUUCAGUAAGUUGUCAACCUCUUUCUAGCACAUACCGUACAGAGAGGCCGUGGUGGAAGAUACCGGUUGUAGCUGGUAGGCAGGCCACCUGGUCCGGGGGCAUGGGUGUUUCCGGUUGGGACCGAGAGGGGAGGCCACCCCUUAGAGCGCGCGAUAUAAAUUUGAUCCCAUGCUACGCGAGGUUGUAGCCUCCCCACUUAGAGUUUGCUUAACAGGUGUCGUGGGUGAUUCCAGACACAUGUGAGUUAAGCUGGUGUGUGCAAGUUAGGUGUGUUUUCAACUAAAAGACCGUAGACGGAAUUAGUCCCGAUGGACUAAAGAAAUUCGUUACUCGUGGAUAAAGAGUACACCCUCUGCAGAGAUUAAAACCUAUUCGAAUAGCCGUGUCCAUGGUUAAGGACUACAGUCUGGGACGGGUCAAGUGUCGGUCUUCGGAGGUGAUAACUGUUAACCAGAACGGGAAUUACUACUGGUGACUUGUGGUAAUUAUGAUUAUCAUUAUUGUUUGACUAACCCGUGAUAUUAUUGUUAUUAUUGAGUAUCUCUGGGAUGGUUCUACCUCCGGGAUAUUCACUAUGAUUGUUCAUUUUAAAAGCCCUUUAUGCGGUGUCGCUCAGACGCCCGACUGUGGCAUUUCUUUUAAAGCCCUUUAUGUGGUGUCGCUCAGACGCCCGACUGUGGCAUUUUUUAAAAGCCCUUUAUGUGGUGUCGCUCAGACGCCCGACUGUGGCAUUUCUUUAAAAGCCCUUUAUGUGGNNNNNNNNNNNNNNNNNNNNNNNNNNNNNNNNNNNNNNNNNNNNNNNNNNNNNNNNNNNNNNNNNNNNNNNNNNNNNNNNNNNNNNNNNNNNNNNNNNNNNNNNNNNNNNNNNNNNNNNNNNNNNNNNNNNNNNNNNNNNNNNNNNNNNNNNNNNNNNNNNNNNNNNNNNNNNNNNNNNNNNNNNNNNNNNNNNNNNNNNNNNNNNNNNNNNNNNNNNNNNNNNNNNNNNNNNNNNNNNNNNNNNNNNNNNNNNNNNNNNNNNNNNNNNNNNNNNNNNNNNNNNNNNNNNNNNNNNNNNNNNNNNNNNNNNNNNNNNNNNNNNNNNNNNNNNNNNNNNNNNNNNNNNNNNNNNNNNNNNNNNNNNNNNNNNUCGCUCAGACGCCCGACUGUGGCAUUUCUUUUAAAGCCCUUUAUGUGGUGUCGCUCAGACGCCCGACUGUGGCAUUUCUUUUAAAGCCCUUUAUGUGGUGUCGCUCAGACGCCCGACUGUGGCAUUUCUUUAAAAGCCCUUUAUGUGGUGUCGCUCAGACGCCCGACUGUGGCAUGCUUGUUAUUUAUUUCAUAAUUUUUAAUACUUCUAUGGCAUUGCAUGUUCAUACAUCAGAGUUAUAUUUAUCUUUGUGACUGACGUCAUGAGCAUAAAAUAUUGUCAGCACAUCAUUGUUAUAUUAUACCUGUGUUCAAAAUGUUUGCGAGUACAUUCAAAGUACUCACUGGCUUGUCCCUGUCUAUUGUCUUGGCCAGAUUUUCUUGCACGGAAAGGAGCGACGCGAUGACAGCCCCGGAACCUAAGCAAUGGAGAUAGCAGCCUCGCGAAGAUAGGAGUUAACCUGGUCAGCUGUUCCACUGGGAAUUGGAGUCCCAGAAUGGCCUUGUACCACAUAUUUUGUAUUUUGCUUGGGAUUUCUGUAUCAAGUUGGAGCCUCAUCAGCUAACAGUAAUCCUGGGGCUGAUGAGCACGACGGUCUUUUUCGGGAAAUUUAUUACCCGGAAAACCGGUCGUGACAUCUGCCUACUACCUCGGGGAGGAAGACAACAGGAGGCGCCAGGUGGGCUGGGCCAGCGAGCUGGGCUGCACAGUGUUGGGCCUCUGGGCUGUAGGUAAGCGCCAGGUAGGGUCAGGUGAGCCUCUGUUCUUUUCCUAUUUUUAUUUUCUGUUAUUUUGUUUUGAUUUAGUUUGAGAACUAAAUCAUUUUAAAACUUUCUGUAAAUUUUUGUGUGAGCUCAGAGAGAUAGUCCAAGGCCACAUGCAAAUUUCCAAAAAUAUUUGAACAUUAUUUCUUAUAUAGCAGAAAUAAUUCCAACCCAAAUAUGUUAUUGAUUUGAAUCAAAGGCCCAAAAUAAAUUAUUUCUGUGCCUCCAAAAAUAUUGGUUUGAGUUUUACCUCAUGCCAAUAUUUUCACAGAAUAACAGGAACAUUUUCUUGGACUCAUUUGAUGAUAUUUAAAUGUUGGUUAUUUUUAGAGGUUUUUCCGAGGCUUUUGAAAAUUCCUCAAUUCAAGUUUCAUUUGAAUUUAAACAUGAUGCUCACAUGGAAACUAGCCUAGGUAAGACGAGAAUUAGGGACGUGACAACUCACCCCACUAAACAAGAAUCUCUCCCGAGAUUCAAGCGUAGGGUAAGAUGAAAGGGGAAUGCAAACUAACACAAUCUUCACGAUCCAGGUUGCACUUCAUAAGAACGUUGAUUCGAUCACCAUCAUUGUCUCGAUGCCUUGCUCUGAGAACUCCAACCAACAUGGCAACGAGAGGAAAGGAAAAUUCUAGAAGGAUCAAUCUUCUUGAAUAUCGAACAACUCAGGAUCAACUCACGGAGUGAGACAUUGAAACACCUCUCGAGCUGAGACAUGAAGCAUACAUCUAGAGGGAUGGAGUGGAACAGAUGGCGAAGGUUCACUAGGUAGACAACAAUCCCGCCUUAAGAGGGUGGUGAUUGGUUGUCAACGUAGCGAAGAGUUGAGUUGCCAUGAUACUAUAAUGAAACAUCUUAGAGGAGGUGACUCGUAGAAUAUAUCCCCCUUAAGUGGCAAAAGAAUUACCUUUGAUUCAGAGAUCAUAGAAACUCUGUAUUCCAGCCUAAGGCAAAUCACAAUUGAUCAGUAGAAGGAGUCCGGAUGAGUGACAUACCCGUACGAGUAUGUAUGAUGUGGAUUACCUUGUUGAAGACAAUGUCAUGGAUGAUUUUGCUUAUCAUCGGAAAUGGAUGGGACCCAUGGUAGAAUGGCACAAUGACGGUGCAAGCUGGGAGCAAAAUGCAAGUGCUGGGAAUGAUUCUAGUAACUGGGGAGAAAACCCAACAGUAGAGAAUGAUUCCACUAUUGGAAUGGUUAUAGCAUAACCGAGGAAAUCUGGGGCAAUCCCAGUUAGUGCCGGUGAUAGCACCUAGUGUUUGUGCGUGCUCUCAAGAACUUGAGCAUUUCCAUAAUCAUCAAGAUUUACCAACAUCCGUGUCAAGGGUGUUGACAACACAACAUACUACCAUGAUGAAUAGCGAUGGACGAUGCAGAUGCAAAGGAAGACAACACCUUCUUAGAUUUCACCUUAGCGAGGCCAAGGGAACGAAAUCUGGAUGAUCGACCGAGGGACAUUUAGCACUCCGCUUCUAAUGUUCUCCUUGGUGUACUAGCGUAUCCCAUUCAUAGAUAUGGUUUGAUAUCUAGAACAUCAGGUAAAGGUCGGACUUCGGGAGCACAAAAAUCCAUAAGGGACAACUAGGGAGUAAAUCCUAUGGGUUCCUUAUGGGGGAGGUGGCCAAUUUUCUCAAUCAAGAUGCUUCAAUAAUAGAUCUUCUGGCUAGUGUGUUGGCCAUGACAUCCACUUUACCGGGUUACACAGAGACCAAUAUUAUAGUUCUUGGGAAAUGUUCCAACCAUCAUAUCUGCCUGAGAUUAAGAUCUGGUUGGUGUAAGGAUAUUCCAGACUCAUCAAGUCUAGAGGAAAAAAAUGAAAGUUUGCAACAUAAAUCGACGAGAUGGUGAAGGAAAUAUGCCCUAGAGGCAAUAAUAAAGUUAUUAUUUAUUUCCUUAUUUCAUGAUAAAUGUUUAUUAUUCAUGCUAGAAUUGUAUUAACCGGAAACAUAAUACAUGUGUGAAUACAUAGACAAACAUAGUGUCACUAGUAUGCCUCUACUUGACUAGCUCGUUUAUCAAAGAUGGUUAUGUUUCCUAGCCAUGGACAAAAGAGUUGUCAUUUGAUUAACGGGAUCACAUCAUUAGGAGAAUGAUGUGAUUGACAUGACCCAAUCCGUUAGCCUAGCACUUGAUCGUUUAGUAUGUUGCUAUUGCUUUCUUCAUGACUUAUACAUGUUCCUGUAACUAUGAGAUUAUGCAACUCCCGUUUACCGGAGGAACACUUUGGGUGCUACCAAACGUCACAACGUAACUGGGUGAUUAUAAAGGAGUACAACAGGUGUCUCCAAAGGUACAUGUUGGGUUGGCGUAUUUCGAGAUUAGGUUUUGUCACUCCGGUUGUCGGAGAGGUAUCUCUGGGCCCUCUCGGUAAUGCACAUCACUAUAAGCCUUGCAAGCAAUGUGACUAAUGAGUUAGUUGCGGGAUGAUGCAUUACAUAACGAGUAAAGAGACUUGCCAGUAACGAGAUUGAACUAGGUAUUGGAUACCGACGAUCGAAUCUCGGGCAAGUAACAUACCGAUGACAAAGGGAACAACGUAUGUUGUUAUGCGGUUUGACCGAUAAAGAUCUUCGUAGAAUAUGUGGGAGCCAAUAUGGGCAUCCAGGUCCCGCUAUUGGUUAUUGACCAAGAAUAGUUCUAGGUCAUGUCUACAUAGUUCUCGAACCCGUAGGGUCCGCACGCUUAAGGUUUCGAUGACAGUUAUAUUAUGAGUUUUGAUGUACCGAAGGAGUUCGGAAUCCCGGAUGAGAUCGGGGACAUGACGAGGAGUCUCGAAAUGGUCGAGACGUAAAGAUCGAUAUAUUGUACGACUAUAUUCGGAGUUCGGAAAGGUUCCGAGUGAUUCGGGUAUUUUUCGGAGUACCGGAGAGUUACGGGAAUUUGCCGGGGAGUAUAUGGGCCUUAUUGGGCUUUAGGGGAAAGAGAGAGGAGUGGUUGGGCGCCCCCCCAAGGCCUAGUCCGAAUUGGACUAGGGGGAGGGGCUGCGCCCCCUCCUUCCUUCUCUUCUCUUCCCCCUUUCCUUGACUCCUACUCCUACUACUUGGAAGGGGGGAAUCCUACUCCCGGUGGGAGUAGGACUCCUCCUUGGUGCGCCUCCUCCUAGGCCGGCCACCCCCUCCCUUGCUCCUUUAUAUACGGGGGCAGGGGGCACCCCAUGACACACAAGUUGAUCUACGGAUCGUUCCUUAGCCGUGUGCGGUGCCCCCCUCCACCAUAUUCCACCUCGGUCAUAUCGUCGCGGAGUUUAGGCGAAGCCCUGCGCCGGUAGAACAUCAUCAUCGUCACCACGCCGUCGUGCUGACGGAACUCAUCCCCGACGCUUUGCUGGAUCGGAGCCCAGGGAUCGUCAUCGAGCUGAACGCGUGCUGAACUCGGAGGUGCCAUACGUUCGGUACUUGGAUCGAUCGGAUCGUGAAGACGUACGACUACAUCAACCGUGUUGUCAUAACGCUUCCGCUUUCGGUCUACGAGGGUACGUGGACAACACUCUCCCCUCUCGUUGCUAUGCAUCACCAUGAUCUUGCGUGUGCGUAGGAAAUUUUUUGAAAUUAUUACGUUCCCCAACAGUGGCAUCCGAGCCUAGGUUUUAUGCGUUGAUGUUAUAUGCACGAGUAGAACACAAGUGAGUUGUGGGCGAUACAAGUCAUACUGCAUACCAGCAUGUCAUACUUUGGUUCGGCGGUAUUGUUGGAUGAAGCGGCCCGGACCGACAUUACGUGUACGCUUACGCGAGACUGGUUUUACCGUCGUGCUUUGCACACAGGUGACUAGCGGGUGUCAGUUUCUCCAACUUUAGUUGAACCGAGUGUGGCUACGCCAGGUCCUUGCGAAGGUUAAAACAGCACCAACUUGACAAACUAUCGUUGUGGUUUUGAUGCGUAGGUAAGAACGGUUCUUGCUCAGCCCGUAGCAGCCACGUAAAACUUGCAACAACAAAGUAGAGGACGUCUAACUUGUUUUUGCAGGGCAUGUUGUGAUGUGAUAUGGUCAAGACGUGAUGAGAUAUAAGUUGUUGUAUGACAUGAUCAUGUUUUGUUGAAUUUAUCGGCAACUGGCAAUAGCCUUAUGGUUGUCUCUUUGUUGCAUAAAGAUGCAAGUGCCAAAUAAUUGCUUUACUUUAUCGCUAUGCGAUAGCAAUAGUUGCAAGAGCAAUAGUUGGCGAGACGACCAUGUGACAACACAUUGAUAUAGAUCAAGAUGAUGAAGAUCAUGGUGUCGUGCCGGAGACGAUAGAGAUCAUGACAGUAGUUUGGAGAUGGAGAUCAAAGGCGCAAGAUGAUCAUGGCCAUAUCAUGUCACAUAUUUUGAUUGCAUAUAAUGUUAUACAUCUUAUUCUGUUUUGAUUGACGGUAACAUUUUAAGAUGAUCUCUCACUAAUUAUCAAGAAGUGUUCUCCCUGAGUAUGCACCGUUGCGAAAGUUCUUCGUGCUGAGACACCACGUGAUGAUCGGGUGUGAUAGGCUCUACGUUCAAAUACAACGGGUGCAAAACAGUUGCACACGCGGAAUACUCAGGUUAAACUUGACGAGCCUAGCAUAUACAGAUAUGGCCUCGGAACACGGAGACCGAAAGGUUGAGCGUGAAUCAUAUAGUAGAUAUGAUCAACAUAGUGAUGUUCACCAUUGAAACUACUCCAUGUCACGUGAUGAUCGGACAUGGUUUAGUUGAUUUGGAUCACGUGAUCACUUAGAUGACUAGAGAGAUGUUUGUCUAAGUGGGAGUUCUUAAGUAAUAUGAUUAAUUGAACUUAAAUUUAUCAUGAACUUAGUCCUGGUAGUAUUUUGCAAAUUAUGUUGUAGAUCAAUAGCUUGCGUUGUUGCUUUCAUAUGUUUAUUUUAAUAUGUUCCUAGAGAAAAUUGUGUUGAAAAAUGUUAGUAGCAAUGAUGCGGAUUGGAUCCGUGAUCUGAGGUUUAUCCUCAUUGAUGCACAGAAGAAUUAUGUCCUUGAUGCACCGCUAUGUGACAGACCUAUUGCAGAAGCAGAUGCAGACGUUAUGAACAUUUAGCUAGCACAAUAUGAUGACUACUUGAUAGUUUAGUGCACCAUGCUUAACGGCUUAGAAUCGGGACUUCAAAGACGUUUUGAACGUCAUGGACCAUACGAGAUGUUCCAGGAAUUGAAGUUAAAUAUUUCAAGCAAAUACCCAAGUUGAGAGAUAUGAAGUCUCCAACAAGUUCUAUAGCUAAAAGAUGGAGGAGAAUCGCUCAACUAGUGAGCAUGUGCUCAGAUUGUUUGGGUACUUCAAUCGCUUGAAUCAAGUGGGAGUUAAUCUUCCAGAUAAGAUAGUGAUUGACAGAAUUCUCUAGUCACCAUCACUAAGUUACUAGAACUUCGUGAUGAACUAUAGUAUGCAAGGGAUGACGAAAAUGAUUCCCGAGCUCUUCGUGAUAUUGAAAUCGACGAAGGUAGAAAUCAAGAAAGAGCAUCAAGUGUUGAUGAUUGACAAGACCACUAGUUUCAAGAAAAGGGCAAAGGGAAAGAAAGGGAACUUCAAGUGGAAAGACAAGCAAGAUUGUCACUCCUGCGAAGAAGCCCAAAUCUGGACCAUAGCCUGAAACUGAGUGCUUACACUGCAAAGGAAAUGGUCACUGGAAGCGAAAAUGCCCUAAACAUUUGGUGGAUAAGAAGGAUGGCAAAGUGAACAAAGGUAUAUUUGAUAUACAAGUUAUUGAUAUAUGUGUGUUACUAGUGUUUAUAGUAGCCCCUGAGUAUUUGAUACUUGUUCGGUUGCUAAGAUUAGUAACUCGAAACAGGAGUUACAGAAUAAACAUAGACUAGUUGAAGGGGAAGUGACGAUGAGUGUUGGAAGUAGUUCCAAGAUUGAUAUGAUCAUCAUCGCACACUCCCUAAACUUUCGGGAUAAGUGUUAAACCUAAAUAAAUGUUAUUUAGUGUUUGCUGAGCAUGAAUAUGAUUUGAUCGUCUUUAUUGCAAUACGGUUAUUCAUUUAAAGUCAGAGAAUACUUGUUGUUCUGUUUACAUGAAUAAAACCUUCAAUGGUCAUACACCCAAUGAAAAUAGUUUAUUGGAUCUCGAUCGUAGUGAUACACAUAUUCAUAAUAUUGAUGCCAAAAGAUGCAAAGUUAAUAAUGAUAGUGCAACUUUAUUGUGACACUGCCGUUUGGGUCAUAUCGGUAUAAAGCGCAUGAAGAAACUCCAUAAAGAUGGAUUUUCGGAAUCACUUGGUUAUGAAUCAUUUGAUGCUUGCGAAUCGUGCCUUUUGGGCAAGAUGACUAAAACUCCGUUCUUCGGAACAAUGGAAUGAGCAACAAACUUGUUUGGAAAUAAUACAUACUGAUGUAUGCAGACCAAUGAGUAUUAAGGCUCGUGGCGAGUAUCGUUAUUUUCUGACCUUCACGGAUGAUUUGGGCAGAUAUGGGUAUAUCUACUUGAUGAAACAUAAGUCUGAAAUAGUUGAAAGGUUCAAAGAAUUUUAGAGUGAAGUGGAAAAAUCAUCGUAACAAGAAAAUAAAGUUUCUGCGAUCUGAUCGCGGAGACGAAUAUUUGAGUUACGAGUUUGGUCUUCAAUUAAAACAAUGUGGAAUAGUUUCACAGCUCAUGCCACCUGGAACACCAAAACGUUAUGGUGUGUCCGAACAUCGUAACCGCACUUUAUUGGAUAUGGUGCGAUCUAUGAUGUCUCCUACUGAUUUACCACUAUUGUUUUGGGGUUAUGCAUUAGAGACAGCUGCAUUCACGUUAAAAGGGCACCAUCUAAAUCCAUUGAGAUGACACUAUAUGAAUUGUGGUUUAGCAAGAAACCCAAGUUGUCGUUUCUUAAAGUUUGGGGCUACGAUGCUUAUGUGAAAAAGUUUCAACCUGAUAAGCUCGAACCCAAAUCGGAGAAGUGCGUCUUCAUAGAAUACCCAAAGGAAACUGUUGGGUACACCUUCUAUCACAGAUCCGAAGGCAAAACAUUCGUUGCUAAGAAUGGAUCCUUUCUAGAGAAGGAGUUUCUCUCGAAAGAAGUGAGUGGGAGGAAAGUAGAGCUUGAUGUAAUUUGUACCUUCUCCCGAAUUGGAAAGUAGUUCAUCACAGAAAUCAGUUCCAGUGAUUCCUACUCCAAUUAGUGAGGAAGCUAAUGAUGAUGAUCAUAAAGCUUCAGAUCAAGUUACUACCGAACUUUGUAGAUCUUCCAGAUUAAGAUCCGCACCAGAGUAGUACGGUAAUCCUAUUCUGGAAGUCAUGUUACUAGACCAUGAUGAACCUACGAACUAUGAGGAAGCGAUGAUGAACCCAGAUUCCGCAAAAUGGUUUGAGGCCAUGAAAUCUGAGGUGGGAUCCAUGUAUGAGAACAAAGUGUGGACUUUGGUGGACUUUCCCAAUGAUCGGCAAGCCAUAGAAAAUAAAUGGAUCUUCAAGAGGAAGACGGACGCUGAUAGUAGUGUUACUAUCUACAAAGCUAGACUUGUCGAAAAAGGUUUUUGACAAAGUUCAAGGUGUUGAAUACAAUGAGAUUUUCUCACUUGUAUCGAUGCUUAAAAGUCUGUCCGAAUCAUGUUAGCAAUUUCCACAUUUUAUGAAAUUUGGCAAAUGGAUGUCAAAACUACAUUCCUUAAUGGGUUUAUUAAAGAAGAGUUGUAUAUGAUACAACCAGAAGGUUUUGUCAAUCCUAAAGGUGCUAACGAAAUGUGCAAGCUCCAGCGAUCCAUCUAUGGACUGGUGCAAGCAUCUCAGAGUUGGAAUAUACACUUUGAUAAGUUGAUCAAAGCAUAUAGUAUUAUACAGACUUGCGGUGAAGCCUGUAUUUACAAGAAAGUGAGUGGGAGCUCUAUAGCAUUUCUGAUACUACAUGUAGAUGACAUAUUGUUGAUCGGAAAUGAUAUAGAAUUUCUGGAUAGCAUAAAGGGAUACUUGAAUAAAAGUUUUUCAAUGAAAGACCUCGGUGAAGCUGCUUACACAUUGAGCGUCAAGAUCUAUAUAGAUAGAUCAAGAUGCUUGAUAAAAAAUUUCAAUGAGUACAUACCUUGAUAAAUUUUUGAAAUAGUUCAAAAUAGAACAGUCAAAGAAGGAGUUCUUGCCUGUGAUGCAAAGGUGUGAAGUUGAGUAAGACUCAAGACCCGACCAUGGCAGAAAAUAGAAAGAGAAUGAAAAGUCAUUAACUAUGCCUCAGUCAUAGGUUCUAUAAAGUAUGCUAUGCUAUGUACCAGACCUAUUGUAUACCUUGCUCUUUAUUUGGCAAGGGAGUACAAUAGUGAUCUAGGAGUAGAUCACUGGACAUUGGUCAAGAAUAUCCUUAGUGAGGACUAAGGAAAUAUUUCUCGAUUAUGGAGGUGAUUAAAGAGCCCGUCGUAAAGAGUUACAUCGGUGCAAGUUUUUACAUCGAUCCAGAUGACUCUAAGUCUCAAUCUGGAUACAUACUGAAAGUGGGAGCAAUUAGCUAGAGUAACUCCGUGCAGAGCAUUGUAGACAUAGAAUAUUUGCAAAAUACAUGCGGCUCUGAAUGUGACAGAACCGUUGACUAAGCUUCUCUCACGAGCAAAACAUGAUCACACCUUAGUACUCUUUGGGUGUUAAUCACAUAGCGAUGUGAACUAGAUUAUUGACUCUAGUAAACCCUUUGGGUGUUGGUCACAUGAUGAUGUGAACUAUGGCUGUUAAUCAUAUACAGAUAUGAAUAUUGAUGUUAAAUCACAUGGUGAUGUGAACUAGAUUAUUGACUCUAGUGCAAGUGGGAGACUGAAGGAAAUAUUCCCUAGAGGCAAUAAUAAAGUUAUUAUUUAUUUCCUUAUUUCAUGAUAAAUGUUUAUUAUUCAUGCUAGAAUUGUAUUAACCGGAAACAUAAUACAUGUGUAAAUACAUAGACAAACAUAGUGUCACUAGUAUGCCUCUACUUGACUAGCUCGUUUAUCAAAGAUGGUUAUGUUUCCUAGCCAUGGACAAAAGAGUUGUCAUUUGAUUAACGGGAUCACAUCAUUAGGAGAAUGAUGUGAUUGACAUGACCCAUUCCGUUAGCCUAGCACUUGAUCGUUAUGUUGCUAUUGCUUUCUUCAUGACUUAUACAUGUUCCUGUAACUAUGAGAUUAUGCAACUCCCAUUUACCGGAGGAACACUUUGGGUGCUACCAAACGUCACAACGUAACUGGGUGAUUAUAAAGGAGUACUACAGGUGUCUCCAAAGGUACAUGUUGGGUUGGCGUAUUUCGAGAUUAGGUUUUAUCACUCCGAUUGUCGGAGAGGUAUCUCUAGGCCCUCUCGGUAAUGCACAUCACUAUAAGCCUUGCAAGUAAUGUGACUAAUGAGUUAGUUGCGGGAUGAUGCAUUACAUAACGAGUAAAGAGACUUGCCGGUAACGAGAUUGAACUAGGUAUUGGAUACCGACGAUCGAAUCUCGGGCAAGUAACAUACCGAUGACAAAGGGAACAACGUAUGUUGUUAUGCGGUUUGGCCGAUAAAGAUCUUCGUAGAAUAUGUGGGAGCCAAUAUGGGCAUCCAGGUCCCGCUAUUGGUUAUUGACCAAGAAUAGUUCUAGGUCAUGUCUACAUAGUUCUCGAACCCGUAGGGUCCGCACGCUUAAGGUUUCGAUGACAGUUAUAUUAUGAGUUUUGAUGUACCGAAGGAGUUCGGAGUCCCGGAUGAGAUCGGGGACAUGACGAGGAGUCUCGAAAUGGUCGAGACGUAAAGAUUGAUAUAUUGGACGACUAUAUUCGGAGUUCGGAAAGGUUCCGAGUGAUUCGGGUAUUUUUCGGAGUACCGAAGAGUUACGGGAAUUCGCCGGGGAGUAUAUGGGCCUUAUUGGGCUUUAGGGGAAAGAGAGAGGAGAGGUUGGGCGCCCCCCCAAGGCCUAGUCCGAAUUGGACUAGGGGGAGGGGCUGCGCCCCCUCCUUCCUUCUCUUCUCUUCCCCCUUUCCUUGACUCCUACUCCUACUACUUGGAAGGGGGGAAUCCUACUCCCGGUGGGAGUAGGACUCCUCCUUGGUGCGCCUCCUCCUAGGCCGGCCACCCCCUCCCUUGCUCCUUUAUAUACGGGGGCAGGGGGCACCCCAUGACACACAAGUUGAUCUACGGAUCGUUCCUUAGCCGUGUGCGGUGCCCCCCUCCACCAUAUUCCACCUCGGUCAUAUCGUCGCGGAGUUUAGGCGAAGCCCUGCGCCGGUAGAACAUCAUCAUCGUCACCACGCCGUCGUGCUGACGGAACUCAUCCCCGACGCUUUGCUGGAUCGGAGCCCGGGGAUCGUCAUUGAGCUGAACGUGUGCUGAACUCGGAGGUGCCGUACGUUCGGUACUUGGAUCGGUCGGAUCGUGAAGACGUACGACUACAUCUACCACGUUGUCAUAACGCUUCCGCUUUCGGUCUACGAGGGUACGUGGACAACACUCUCCCCUCUCGUUGCUAUGCAUCACCAUGAUCUUGCGUGUGCGUAGGAAAUUUUUUGAAAUUACUACGUUCCCCAAUAGAUGGUGCUGCGAGAUUCUCAGGAAAUGAACUACGAUAGCAAGCUCCAAAAGAUGAGCCGGUUCUGCUACACACAUGUGAACACGCUGUCCCAAACAGGCGUGGUCACCUGGUAGUCUUACAACGAAACACUACCGAGUUCAGGUGGAAAACCAUCAUUGCGGAUAACGGAGUCCUUGAUUAAGCCCGGGUUAGCUCUUAAAAGGAACUCCUUCUCCUGGAACAAAUCAGUCAGUGGCUUGGUGUGCUAAGGAUACAUAUAGAAUGAAGGUUGCAAGUCUCCAAACCACAUAAUACUUCGCACGUAUGCAUGACCGACUUGGGAUGAUUCCAAAGGAAGCAACAUUAACUUUCUCGAAUCCACGGCGGCAACUUGCAUCAAAUGCACAUGAAUUAGAGGAAGCCACUUCUUCCAUCUGAACAUAUGCUUCAUGAGCUAGCAUGAAGAAAUGCUUUCAAAGGUUUCCAACACUAGCUUAAUGGUCAACAAAAUUAUGGAGAAGGCAAGGAUGUUGUCGAUGGGCUCAAUCAACAACAACUCAUCCAGGUUUCCAUAAAAAUGGAAUUCCAUAAUUAUGAGAACAAGUGAUAGUAUUGGUCAGACCAAAGGAUAUAAUGGUGUAUGCUUGAGGGAUCAACCACGAGUAAGACAACAUUAAGAACAUCGUUGGUUCUGAUUUGAUUUGAGGAUAGCCCACACUCAAAUCAAAGUUUUGAUAAGACAAUAGAUCCAGCAAUUGGUCACGGGGAUCAAUCGAUGAAGAUAUCAUCUUUCUUCAACACACAUAUACAAAAGAUAUCCCUUUGAAAUGAACUAAGUUAGGCAAAGCUUUUAUCUUCCAACUCUCCAAGUUGUUGUUUAGCUCAACCAACUAGUUCAGGGUAUCCAACACGGAUUCUUGGAGAAAGGGUGGUUUACAGGAAUAAACUAACUUGAUCAUGAACUCAACAUAAGGAUGAGGGGACAACCUGGUAAUACUUCCGAGAAGAUAUUCGGGAAAUCACGAACCACCGAUAUGUUACUAAGCUCGAGAACAAUCUUGCUUUUCAGGGCAAGACGAUAUGAUCAAUAGAGCGAAGGUUUGAGAUAAUCCUAACUCAUCGAUCGAGGAGUGCACCAGUAGAAUGGACUAGGUAGCACGAUCAAUCUUAGAAUGAUGAUUCAAUAACCAACAUGCUAAGAAUGAAAUUAUUGUCCUUUAACUACCAAGCAACAGAGUUGCUAGGAGUAUUGAGUUCACACAUCACGAUUCACUUGUCGGCACUCCGGCUGCAACAACACGGAACCGAGGAAUGAAUAAUGAUGGCGAGAAGUAUCACUAUGUCAAGAAUUCACGAGAGAUGGUGCAAUUCUCAUGGCAAUCCCGACGUAAAGAGGGUAACACUCCAAGGUGGAACAGAACAAAAGCUGGAUUAGCAUUUUGAUCUGCGGAACACAACUGUUUUGACCCAAUCCUAGAAAUGGAUAAGGUACUGGAGUUUGUUUCUCCUAGUCAUUCUGGAAUAGAAUGGCUUGACGGACCACAAGAGUAAUAGGCAUCGAUAAACACCAUUGCACAACUACUCCUUACUAUCAAUUGAUAGACGAGGAUCAGAAUACAACUAAAGGGGGACAACUCAAAAGAACAUACGAUUUUCUGAGUUGUGGAUGCAUAGAUUAGUAUGUCGAACCAAGUUCAACAGGUUUCUUCCGGAUAACCCAUACAGAGAGGUAGGUUUGGCAGAAUCGUAAUAUAGAAGGGGGAACUCAUCGAGGGCACUCUUGUUGUGAUCUUUUGGUUCCCGAACUUCUUCCAUAUUGGUUCAUGGUAUUGGAAGAAGGAAAUGCCACGGACCUCGAGGACUAUCGCAAAGGUUACUAACAACCUAAAGGAACUAGCAAAUACUACCAACAAGAAGUAGGUAGGGUGAAUCUCGGGUUCAGAAACCCAGGGGUAGAAUGCCUACUAACUAAGUGGCAUCACGGGAUGCUUUAGAGAAUGAUGGCCAGAAUCAUCACACUGGGAACACAAAACAUGGCUAGAUUACUAGAUGAUCCCCUAAGACACCUAGGGUCAUAAUAAUAAUUCCAACAUAUAUGUCGAGGCAAUAGAAUACCUCAACUCAACAAUUAAUGUGAUUAACCUGGCCUAAAGGAACAUCGAAACCAGAUGGAAAGGAUUUUGGAAAUGCAUCAGAUUGUUUAGAAACCUGGGACGACUCGGACAACAUAACGGUUGUAAAUGCUCGAAAGGUUUUAAGACAUCCUGCAAAAUGGUGGCAUAACAACUCAAUCAUCAUAAUAUCAAGGUUCUGAGAUCAACUGUGAAUACAUAGAGAUAGUAGAAACUGAACUGAGGUUCUUUGUCAACUGCUUCAUCAAAGCGGACGGCAAAGAACCUUUGCCGUCAGUUGUGGACGGCAAAGAAAACAGACAACAACUAAUAGGCGUUAGCCACGUUAGGUGGCUAAUGGCAGCCUUUGCCGUCCGCUGGCGGACGGCAAAGUAACCAAAUGGUCAACCCUUUGCCGUCGGUGGCAGACGACAAAUACGCUGCAUUUUCUGUUUUUUCUUAUGCUCUAUUCUGUAAGGGGGUGAUUUAGACCCAUAUGUUUAGUGCUAUGGUUAGAUUUAUCUUAGUUCUUCUUUCGUAGUUGCGGAUGCUUGCGAGGGUAGUUAAUCAUAAGCGGGAAGCUUUUUCAAUUAAGAACAACACCCAAGCACCGGUCCACCUACAUAUCAAAUUAUCAAAGUAGCGAACGCGAAUCAAACAUACAUGAUGAAAGUGACUAGAUGAAUUUCCUGUGUGUCCUCAAGAAUGCUUAGCUUAUUAUAAGAGACUGUUUCGGCCAGUCCUUUUCAACAAAAAGGAUUGGGCUACCUUGCGGCACCUUAGUUACUAUUGCUACUUGUUACAAAUUAUCUUGCUAUCAAAGUACUCGUUACCGAUAAUUUUAGUGCUUGCAGAAAAUACCUUGCCGAGAAUCGCUUGUCAUUUUCUUCUGCUCCUUGUUGGGUUCGACACUCUUACUUAUCAAAAGGACUACGAUAGAUCCCCUAUACUUGAAGGUCAUCAAAACUCUUUUCUAGCGCCAUUGCCGAGGAGUGAAGCGCCUUUGGUAGGUGGGAUUUGAUAGGGAAACAUUUAUAUUACGUGUUCAAAUUUAUUGUUACUUGUUACUAUGGAAAACAAUCCUUUGAGGGGUUUGUUCGGGUUAUCUUCACCUCGACCGGAAGCACAAAGAGUUGCUCCUUAACCUACUGUACCUACUGAAAAUAUUUAUUAUUAGAUUCAUUUGGGUAUGAUAAACUGCUAGCUAAUCCUUACGCAGGAGAAGGAACAUUACCUCAUGAUAUGCACCUAAUCUAUAUGGAUGAAAUUUGUGGAUUAUUUAAGGUUGCAGGUUGAUACGUCUCCAACGUAUCUAUAAUUUUUGAUUGUUUCAUGUUGUUAUAUUAUCAUUCUUGGAUGUUUUACAAUCGUUUUAUAUCAACUUUAUAUCAUUUUUUGGGACUAACCCAUUGACAUAGUGCCAAGUGUCAGUUGUUGUUUUUUGCUUGUUUUUUACUUCACAGAAUAUCCCUAUCAAAGGGAGUCCAAAUGCAGCGAAACUUUUUGAAGAUUUUUUUGGACCAGAAGACAACUUGGGAGCCAAGGAAGCACCUGGGGGAGGCCUAUGGGGCCCACAAGACACCAGGGCGCACCAGAGGCCCCUGGCGCACCCUGAUGGAUUGUGGGGCCCGCGGUGGUCUCCUGCACAACCUCUUCGCUCUAUAAAUUUUCAGAAAUUCCAAAAACCCUAGGGGAGCAGACGAAACACAAUUUCAGUCGUUGCAAGUUCCAGAACCAUGAGAUCCAAUCUAACACCAUCACGGAGGGGGUUUAUCAUCCUCAUUGGUGCCUCUCCGAUGAUGCGUGAGUAGUCCACCAUAGACCUAUGGGUUCGUAGGCAGUAGCUAGAUGGAUUCUUUUUUUUUUUGAUUCUCAAUAUAAUGGUCUCUUGAAGAUCUAUUUGAUGUAAUGACUUUUGCGGUGUGUUUGCUGGGAUCCGAUGAAUUUGGAGUUUAUGAUCAGUUUUUAUCCAUGAAUGUUAUUGGAGUCUUCUUUGAUCUCAUAUAUGCAUGAUUACUAAUAUGCUCGUAUUUUUCUUCGAAUCUUUGGUUUAGUUAGGACAACUAGAUCGAUUUUUCUUGCCAUGGGAGGAGGUGCUUUUGCAAUGGAAAUGCACAUUGAGAGCCGACCUGUCGUUGUCGUGGGAAUCAUCGCCGGUUCAAUGCAUGCUCAUGUGAACCCACACACCGGUGCCCAGACGAUGGUGAUGGUAAACGAGGAGUCAUGAAUGCGUCAAUACUCUAUUUCACAUAUUUCUCACCACGGAAAGAAGAGGACAAAGUUUGAAAAACAUCACUGACAAGCCACUAGGGGUAGCCAGUGAUAAAGUAGUAGCAGCACUGACGGUCCAUUUUGACAUCGGUCUGUGAUGAACAAUCGACCUCACUACAGUUGAGGAGGACAAUAAUAUAGACCGACCUAAUUUUAGCCAAUCUCACCUACGCAUCAAAACCACAACGAUACUUCGUCAAAUAGACUCCGUUUUAACCUUCUCAAGGACCGGGCGUAGCCGUACUCGGUUCAACUAAAGUGAGAGAGACAGACACCCGCCAGUCACCUUUAAGCAACGAGUGCUCGUAGUGGUGAAACCAAUCUCGCGUAAGCGUACGCGUAAUGUCGGUCCGGGCCGCUUCAUCUCACAAUACCGCUGAACCAAAGUAUGACAUGCUGGUAGGUAGUAUGACUUGUAUCGCCCACAACUCACUUGUGUUCUACUCGUGCAAAACAUCAAACCAUAAAAACCUAGGCUCGGAUGCCACUGUUGGGGAACGUAGUAAUUUCAAAAAAUUUCCUACGCACAUGCAAGAUCAUGGUGAUGCAUAGCAACGAGAGGGGAGAGUGUUGUCUACGUACCCUCGUAGACCGAAGCGGAAGCGAUCACAACGUAGAGGAAGUAGUCGUACGAUCUCCUCGCGAUCCAACCGAUCCUAGCGCCGUUACUCCAGCGCCCCCGAGUUCUUGACACACGUACAGCUCGAUGACGCUCCUCGGGCUCCAAUCCAGUAGAGCUUCGGGGAGGGAGAAUUCCGUCAGCACGACGGCGUGGUGACGAUCUUGAUGUUCUACCGGCGCAGGGCUUCGCCUAAGCUUUGCGACGAUAUGACCGAGGUGGAAUAUGGUGGAGGGGGCACCGCACACGGCUAAGGAACGAUCCGUAGAUCAACUUGUGUGUCCUAGGGUGCCCCCCUGCCCCCGUAUAUAAAGGAGCAAGGGGGGGUGCGGCCGGCCCUUGGAGGAGGCGCGCCGGAGGAGUCCUACUCCCACCGGGAGUAGGACUCCCCCCCUUUCCUAGUUGGAUUAGGAUUGGGGGGAGGGAAAGAGGGAAGGGGGGGCGCCGCCCCCCUCUCCUUGUCCUAUUCGGACUAGGGGGGGAGGGGGCGCGCGGCCAGCCCUGGCCGGCCCUUCCUCUUCUCCCUCAUGGCCCACUAAGGCCCAAUAACCCCCGGGAGGGUUCCGGUAACCCCCCGGUGUUCCGGAAAAAUCCCGAUUUCACCCGGAACCAUUCUGAACUCCAAAUAUAGGCUUCCAAUAUAUCAAUCUUUAUGUCUCGACCAUUUCGAGACUCCUCGUCAUGUCCGUGAUCACAUCCGGGACUCCGAACUUCUUCGAUACAUCAAAAUACACAAACUCAUAAUAUAACCGUCAUCGAAACCUUAAGCGUGCGGACCCUACGGUUCGAGAACAAUGUAGACAUGACCGAGACACGUCUCCGGUCAAUAACCAAUAGCGGGACCUGGAUGCCCAUAUUGGCUCCUACAUAUUCUACGAAGAUCUUUAUCGGUCAGACCGCAUAACAACAUACGUUGUUCCCUUUGUCAUCGGUAUGUUACUUGCCCGAGAUUCGAUCGUCGGUAUCCAAUACCUAGUUCAAUCUCGUUACCGGCAAGUCUCUUUACUCGUUCCGUAAUACAUCAUCUCACAGCUAACUCAUUAGUUGUAAUGCUUGCAAGGCUUAAGUGAUGUGUAUUACCGAGAGGGCCCAGAGAUACCUCUCCGACAAAUGGAGUGACAAAUCCUAAUCUCGAAAUACGCCAACCCAACAUCUGCCUUUGGAGACACCUGCAGUACUCCUUUAUAAUCACCCAGUUACGUUGUGACGUUUGGUAGUACCCAAAGUGUUCCUCCGGUAAACGGGAGUUGCAUAAUCUCAUAGUUAUAGGAACAUGUAUAAGUCAUGGAUAAAAGCAGUAGCAACAUACUAAACGAUCGUGUGCUAAGCUAAUGGAAUGGGUCAUGUCAAUCAGAUCAUUCAACUAAUGAUGUGACCUUGUUAAUCAAAUAACAACUCUUUGUUCAUGGUUAGGAAACAUAACCAUCUUUGAUUAACAAGCUAGUCAAGUAGAGGCAUACUAGUGACACUCUGUUUGUCUAUAUAUUCACACAUAUAUUAUGUUUCCGGUUAAUACAAUUCUAGCAUGAAUAAUAAACAUUUAUCAUGAUAUAAGGAAAUAAAUAAUAACUUUAUUAUUGCCUCUAGGGCAUAUUUCCUUCAGUCUUCCACUUGCACUAGAGUCAAUAAUCUAGAUCACAUCACCAUGUGAUUAACAUCGAUAGUUCACAUCAUCAUGUGAUUAACACCCAUAGUUCACAUCACCAUGUGACCAACACCCAAAGGGUUUACUAGAUUCAGUAAUCUAGUUCACAUCGCUAUGUGAUUAAUACCCAAAGAGUACUAAAGUGUGAUCAUGUUUUGCUUGUGAGAGAGUCUUAGUCAACGGGUCUUUCACAUUCAGAUCCGUUAUGUAUUUUGCAAUUUUUCUAUGUCUACAAUGCUCUGCACGAAGCUACUCUAGCUAAUUGCUCCCACUUUCAAUAUAUAUCUAGAUCGAGACUUAGAGUCAUCCAGAUCAGUGUCAAAACUUGCAUCGACAUAACCCUUUACGACGAACCUUUUGUCACUUCCAUAAUCGAGAAACAUAUCCUUAUUCCACUAAGGAUAAUAUUGACCGCUGUCCAGUGAUCUACUCCUAGAUAACUAUUGUACUCCCUUGCCAAACUCAGUGCAGGGUAUACAAUAGAUCUGGUACACAGCAUGGCAUACUUUAUAGAACCUAUGGCCAAGGUAUAGGGAAUGACUUUCAUUCUCUUUCUAUCUUCUGCCGUGGUCGGGUUUUGAGUCUUACUCAAUUUCACACCUUGUAACACAGGUAAGAACUCUUUCUUUGACUGUUCCAUUUUGAACUACUUCAAAAUCUUGUCAAGGUAUGUACUCAUUGAAAAAACUUAUCAAGCAUCUUGAUCUAUCUCUAUAGAUCUUGAUGCUCAAUAUGUAAGCAGCUUCACCGAGGUCUUUCAUUGAAAAACUCUUAUUCAAGUAUCCCUUUAUGCUAUCCAGAAAUUCUAUAUCAUUUCCGAUUAGUAAUAUGUCAUCUACAUAUAAUAUCAGAAAUGCUACAGAGCUCCCACUCACUUUCUUGUAAAUACAGGCUUCUCCAAAAGUCUGUAUAAACCCAAAUGCUUUGAUCACACUAUCAAAGCAUUUAUUCCAACUCCGAGAUGCUUGCACCAGUCCAUAAAUGGAUUGCUGGAGCUUGCACACUUUGUUAGCUCCCUUUGGAUCGAUAAAACCUUCUGGUUGCAUCAUAUACAACUCUUCUUCCAGAAAUCCAUUCAGGAAUGCAGUCUUUACAUCCAUUUGCCAAAUUUCAUAAAUUGUGGCAAUUGCUAACAUGAUUCGGACAGACUUAAGCAUCGCUACAGUUGAGAAAAUCUCAUUGUAGUCAACAUCUUGAACUUUGUCGAAAACCUUUUUGCAACAAGUCGAGCUUCGUAGAUAGUAACACUACUAUCAACGUCCGUCUUCCUCUUGAAGAUCCAUUUAUUUUCUAUGGCUUGCCGAUCAUCGGGCAACUCCACCAAAGUCCACACUUUGUUCUCAUACAUGGAUCUCAUCUCAGAUUUCAUGGCCUCAAACCAUUUUGCGGAAUCUGGGCUCAUCAUCGCUUCCUCAUAGUUCGUAGGUUUGUCAUGGUCAAGUAACACGACCUCCAGAACAGGAUUACCGUACCACUCUGGUGCGAAUCUCACUCUGUUUUACCUACGAGGUUCGGUAGUAACUUGAUCUGAAGUUACAUGAUCAUCAUCAUUAACUUCCUCACGAAUUGGUAUAGUAGUCACAAGAACAGAUUUCUGUGAUGAACUACUUUCCAAUAAGGGAACAGGUACAGUUACCUCAUCAAGUUCUACUUUCCUCCCACUCACUUCUUUCGAGAGAAACUUCUUCUCUAGAAAGGAUCCAUUUUAAGCAACGAAUAUCUUGCCUUCGGAUCUGUGAUAGAAGGUGUACCCAACAAUUUCCUUUGGGUAUUCUAUGAAGACGCACUUCUCCGAUUUGGGUUUGAGCUUAUCAGGAUGAAACUUUUCACAUAAGCAUCGCAACUCCAAACUUUAAGAAACGAUAACUUGGGUUUCUUGCUAAACCACAGUUCAUAUAGUGUCGUCUCAACGGAUUUAGAUGGUGCCCAAUUUAACGUGAAUGCAGCUGUCUCUAAUGCAUGAUCCCAAAACGAUAUUGGUAAAUCAGUAAGAAACAUCAUAGAUUGCACUAUAUCCAAUAAAGUGCGGUUACGAUGUUUGGACACACCAUAACAUUGUGGUGUUCCAGGUGGCGUGAGCUGUGAAACUAUUCCACAUUGUUUUAAUUGAAGACCAAACUCGUAACUCAAAUAUUCAUCUCCACGAUCAGAUUGCAGAAACUUUAUUUUCUUGUUACGAUGAUUUUCCACUUCACUCUGAAAUUCUUUGAACAUUUCAACUAAUUCAGACUUAUGUUUCAUCAAGUAGAUAUACCCAUAUCUGCUCAAAUCAUCCUGUGAAGGUCAGAAAAUAACGAUACUUGCCACGAGCAUCAACACUCAUUGGAUCGCAUACAUCGGUAUGUAUUAUUUCCAAUAAGUCAGUAGCUUGUUCCAUUGUUCCGGAGAACGGAGUUUUAGUCAUCUUGCCCAAAAGGCACGGUUCGCAAGCAUCAAGUGAUUCAUAAUCAAGUGAUUCCAAAAUCCCAUCAGCAUGGAGUUUCUUCAUGCGCUUUACACCAAUAUGACCUAAACGGCAGUGCCACAAAUAAGUUGCACUAUCAUUAUUAACUUUGCAUCUUUUGGUUUCAAUAUUAUGAAUAUGUGUAUCACUACGAUCGAGAUCCAAUGAACCAUUUUCAUUGGGUGUGUAACCAUAAAAGGUUUUAUUCAUGUAAACAGAAUAACAGUUUAUUCUCUUACUUAAAUGAAUAACCGUUAUUGCAAUAAACAUGAUCAAAUCAUAUUCAUGCUCAACGCAAACAACAAAUAACAUUUAUUUAGGUUCAACACUAAUCCCGAAAGUAUAGGGAGUGUGCGAUGAUGAUCAUAUCAAUCUUGAAACUACUUUCAACGUCCAUCGUCACUUCACCCUUAACUAGUUUCUGUUUAUUCUGCAACUCCUGCUUCGAGUUACUACUCUUAGCAACUGAACCAGUACCAAAUACCGAGGGGUUGCUAUAAACACUAGUAAAGUACACAUCAAUAACAUGUAUAUCAAAUAUACCUUUGUUUACUUUGCCAUCCUUCUUAUCCACCAAAUAUUCAGGGCAUUUCCGCUUCCAGUGACCAUUUCCUUUGCAGUGUAAGCACUCAGUUUCAGGCUUUGGUCCAGCUUGGAGCUUCUUUGCGGGAGUGACAACUUGCUUGUCUUUCCACUUGAAGUUCCCUUUCUUUCCCUUUGCCCUUUUCUUGAAACUAGUGGUCUUGUCAAUCAUCAACACUUGAUGCUCUUUCUUGAUUUCUACAUUCGUCGAUUUCAAUAUCACGAAGAACUCGGGAAUCAUUUUCAUCAUCCCUUGCAUACUAUAGUUCAUCACGAAGUUCUACUAACUUGGUGAUGGUGACUAGAGAAUUCUGUCAAUCACUAUCUUAUCUGGAAGAUUAACUCCCACUUGAUUCAAGCAAUUGAAGUACCCAGACAAUUUGAGCACAUGCUCACUAGUUGAGCGAUUCUCCUCCAUCUUUUAGCUAUAGAACUUGUUGAAGACUUCAUAUCUCUCAACUCGGGUAUUUGCUUGAAAUAUUAACUUCAACUCCUGGAACAUCUCAUAUUGUCCAUGACGUUUCAAAACGUCUUUGAAGUCCCGAUUCUAAGCUGUUAAGCAUGGUGCACUUAAACUAUCAAGUAGUCAUCAUAUUGAGCUAGCCAAACGUUCAUAACGUUUGCAUCUGCUCCUGCAAUAGGUCUGUCACCUAGCGGUGCAUUAAGGACAUAAUUCUUCUGUGCAGCAAUGAGGAUAAACCUCCGAUCACGGAUCGAAUCCGCAUCAUUGCUACUAACAUUUUUUCAACACAAUUUUCUCUAGGAACAUAUCAAAAACAAACAUAUGAAAGCAACAACGCGAGCUAUUGAUCUACAACAUAAUUUGCAAAAUACUACCAGGACUAAGUUCAUGAUAAAUUUAAGUUCAAUUAAUCAUAUUACUUAAGAACUCCCACUUAGACAGACAUCUCUCUAGUCAUCUAAGUGAUCACGCGAUCCAAAUCAACUAAACCAUAACCGAUCAUCACGUGAGAUGGAGUAGUUUUCAAUGGUGAACAUCUUAUGUUGAUCAUAUCUACUAUAUGAUUCACGCUCGACCUUUCGAUCUCCGUGUUCCGAGGCCAUAUCUGCAUAUGCUAGGCUCGUCAAGUAUAACCUGAGUAUUCUGCGUGUGCAAAACUGGCUUGCACCCGUUGUAGAUGGACGUAGAGCUUAUCACACCCGAUCAUCACGUGGUGUCUCGGCACGACGAACUUUGGCAACGGUGCAUACUCAGGGAGAACACUACUUGAUAAUUUUUAGUGAGAGAUCAUCUUAAAAUGCUACCGUCAAUCAAAGCAAGAUAAGAUGUAUAAAGGAUAAACAUCACAUGCAAUCAAUAUAAGUGAUAUGAUAUGGCCAUCAUCAUCUUGUGCUUGUGAUCUCCAUCUCCAAAGCACCGUCGUGAUCACCAUCGUCACCGGCGCGACACCUUGAUCUCCAUCGUAGCAUCGUUGUCGUCUACGCCACCUAUUGCUUCUACGACUAUCGCUACCGCUUAGUGAUAAAGUAAAGCAAUUACAGGGCGUUUGCAUUUCAUACAAUAAAGCGACAACCAUAUGGCUCCAGCCAGUUGCCGAUAACUUCGGUUACAAAACAUGAUCAUCUCAUACAAUAAAAUAUAGCAUCACGUCUUGACCAUAUCACAUCACAACAUGCCCUGCAAAAACAAGUUAGACGUCCUCUACUUUGUUGUUGCAAAUUUUACGUGGCUGCUACGGGCUUAAGCAAGAACCAAUCUCACCUACGCAUCAAAACCACAACGAUACUUCGUCAAAUAGACUCCGUUUUAACCUUCUCAAGGACCGGGCGUAGCCGUACUCGGUUCAACUAAAGUGAGAGAGACAGACACCCGCCAGUCACCUUUAAGCAACGAGUGCUCGUAGCGGUGAAACCAGUCUCGCGUAAGCGUACGCGUAAUGUCGGUCCGGGCCGCUUCAUCUCACAAUACCGCUGAACCAAAGUAUGACAUGCUGGUAGGUAGUAUGACUUGUAUCGCCCACAACUCACUUGUGUUCUACUCGUGCAAAACAUCAAACCAUAAAAACCUAGGCUCGGAUGCCACUGUUGGGGAACGUAGUAAUUUCAAAAAAUUUCCUACGCACACGCAAGAUCAUGGUGAUGCAUAGCAACGAGAGGGGAGAGUGUUGUCUACGUACCCUCGUAGACCGAAGCGGAAGCGAUCACAACGUAGAGGAAGUAGUCGUACGAUCUCCUCGCGAUCCAACCGAUCCUAGCGCCGUUACUCCAGCGCCCCCGAGUUCUUGACACACGUACAGCUCGAUGACGCUCCUCGGGCUCCAAUCCAGUAGAGCUUCGGGGAGGGAGAAUUCCGUCAGCACGACGGCGUGGUGACGAUCUUGAUGUUCUACCGGCGCAGGGCUUCGCCUAAGCUUUGCGACGAUAUGACCGAGGUGGAAUAUGGUGGAGGGGGCACCGCACACGGCUAAGGAACGAUCCGUAGAUCAACUUGUGUGUCCUAGGGUGCCCCCCUGCCCCCGUAUAUAAAGGAGCAAGGGGGGGUGCGGCCGGCCCUUGGAGGAGGCGCGCCGGAGGAGUCCUACUCCCACCGGGAGUAGGACUCCCCCCCUUUCCUAGUUGGAUUAGGAUUGGGGGGAGGGAAAGAGGGAAGGGGGGGCGCCGCCUCCCUCUCCUUGUCCUAUUCGGACUAGGGGGGGAGGGGGCGCGCGGCCAGCCCUGGCCGGCCCUUCCUCUUCUCCCUCAUGGCCCACUAAGGCCCAAUAACCCCCGGGAGGGUUCCGGUAACCCCCCGGUGUUCCGGAAAAAUCCCGAUUUCACCCGGAACCAUUCCGAACUCCAAAUAUAGGCUUCCAAUAUAUCAAUCUUUAUGUCUCGACCAUUUCGAGACUCCUCGUCAUGUCCGUGAUCACAUCCGGGACUCCGAACUUCUUCGGUACAUCAAAAUACACAAACUCAUAAUAUAACCGUCAUCGAAACCUUAAGCGUGCGGACCCUACGGUUCGAGAACAAUGUAGACAUGACCGAGACACGUCUCCGGUCAAUAACCAAUAGCGGGACCUGGAUGCCCAUAUUGGCUCCUACAUAUUCUACGAAGAUCUUUAUCGGUCAGACCGCAUAACAACAUACGUUGUUCCCUUUGUCAUCGGUAUGUUACUUGCCCGAGAUUCGAUUGUCGGUAUCCAAUACCUAGUUCAAUCUCGUUACCGGCAAGUCUCUUUACUCGUUUCGUAAUACAUCAUCUCACAGCUAACUCAUUAGUUGUAAUGCUUGCAAGGCUUAAGUGAUGUGUAUUACCGAGAGGGCCCAGAGAUACCUCUCCGAUAAAUGGAGUGACAAAUCCUAAUCUCGAAAUACGCCAACCCAACAUCUGCCUUUGGAGACACCUGUAGUACUCCUUUAUAAUCACCCAGUUACGUUGUGACGUUUGGUAGUACCCAAAGUGUUCCUCCGGUAAACGGGAGUUGCAUAAUCUCAUAGUUAUAGGAACAUGUAUAAGUCAUGGAUAAAAGCAGUAGCAACAUACUAAACGAUCGUGUGCUAAGCUAAUGGAAUGGGUCAUGUCAAUCAGAUCAUUCAACUAAUGAUGUGACCUUGUUAAUCAAAUAACAACUCUUUGUUCAUGGUUAGGAAACAUAACCAUCUUUGAUUAACAAGCUAGUCAAGUAGAGGCAUACUAGUGACACUCUGUUUGUCUAUAUAUUCACACAUGUAUUAUGUUUCCGGUUAAUACAAUUCUAGCAUGAAUAAUAAACAUUUAUCAUGAUAUAAGGAAAUAAAUAAUAACUUUAUUAUUGCCUCUAGGGCAUAUUUCCUUCA
rnacentral:lncRNA from 1 species